rnacentral:lncRNA from 1 species
UAACAAGCCUCUCCUUCGGGUGAUGCCUUCUUUGGGGUGGCCUUUCUGCGAGCGUCCGUGCGUGCGUGUCCAUGAAUAAACCUCAGCUUGUCUCGGCAAGCUAGGUGCGAGUCCCUUCUUUGUUUUUUGUAUGAUUAUUGCCAGUGUUUGUUUCUUGUUGGGUUCGUCCUCAGAGUUGCUGCGAGAUUUAUGGGAUUAUCCCAGUCAAUCCUUCUGUCAUGUAAGAUUUUAUUUUGGGCAAAUCAUGAGUGUUGUAUGCCUGUUCCCUCAGUAACUCACUCGUUGUGUAUACAAUUGGACAGGCAUGUCACAUGGUGCCUGUAGUUGUGAUGUGCAUGCUAUACCUCCGUGUGAUCGAGAUCGAUCCAUAUGAUCGAUGCGCCAUGUGUGCAGUGGCAGCUGACACCCGGCGCUACGCAUGCGCAAGGACCGCUGCGAGACCUGAGCAUUUCUUGGGCCGGGCUUUAAAAAGCCGAACCCCACAAAUCUAAGCCUGAGCCAUGCCCGGUCCUGAACAAACGAACACUAUUCUAUUUUUCUCAAUCCUUUUUCCGGUAGUGAAUACUACCUCCCUCCCAGUUUAUUAGACCCCUAGUAUAUUGAGUCAAACUUUGACCAUUGACAUGACUAAUAAAAUAUAGAAUACAUGCUUAAAGUAGUACAAUGUUGGAUUUGUAUUUGAAAGAGCGUUCGGAAGGUAUAAUGUUUGUGACGUAUAGUUUACAUGUUAUUAGUUAAAAUUGUGAGUCAAACUUUAAUCUAAAAUAAGAGGGAGCCUAAUAAACCCGGACGGAGGUAGUAGUACUUAUCUUUCUAUUGAAAUUACGUAAUUUAUUCAUUUUCAAGAUAUAUUAAUACAUUAGUAUGAUUUUUUUAAUGAAACCUUAUUUUUAGUUUUUUAGAACCACAAUAUAGGCCAGAAGCUCACAAUCACUAUAUAUGUGGCAAUUUCCCAAAAGAAAAAACCCAUGUGUGCCAACAUUUUUUAGGAAAGAUAUUUCUUUCCAUUUCAUUAACGAAACCCCCGCAUGUUCUUACAAGAUACAAACUGCUAAAAGAGCCUGGAGGCCUUUAAUUUGAAAAUUUUCAAAAUCCUAUUUUUUUUGUUUCAAAAAAUUCUGAAACAACACACAUGUAUGCAAGGAUGUAAUGUGUAUGUGUGUAAAAAUUCAGUAUGAAAUAUCUUGAUUUACGAGCUGCAAAUAAAUUUAAUGGAGUAUGAGGAUGAAGAAUACAUAUGCUAAAAAGCCCCAGAUUUUUUUCUGUAGCUCUCAUUUAAACCUAUUUCGAUCUGAAAAUUUGCACACAUGUACAUUAUGUGUAUUACGUGAAUUUGUUUUCAGAAUUUAUUGAAACUGAAAUACGGUUAAGUGUACGCAUGAGCCUACAAAAUACGUACAAGGUAUUUGUAAAUGAUAAAAGUACUACAACAAACAACUCAAAACAGGUGUUCGACGUGGACCUCUUUUGUUUUGCAGGAACAUGGGAAUUAUUAAUGUACAGUAAUGCCUUUUACAAUCAUGAUUGAGCAACUCGGCAAAAAACAAAGUGGCCUCAAGCGGCCAAACAUUGGCCUCUACACCCGCUCCUAGCACCAGCAGCUUGUGCAAGUUGGCGAGCUACCCUGUGUCCUCCUCUAUUAACCUGAACCGAAAUUCAGGAAGUUCAGCCGCAGUAUCUCUAACAUCAGGUAGCAGGCGAUAAUACUACACGCACACGGAAAGAAUCGACAGACUUUCACGGAAUCCACCUCACCUAACCAAAUCCUAGCCAAUCAAUUUCUAACUACACCGUAAUCCCCCUGUAAAUCCCCGUGUGUCUAGCAUUGCUCGAUAGCAGGUGUGCAUGGGCAUGGCGCGACCAUAACUUGAGAGCCUGACUCCACUUGAGGCCAAACUGUUCAUGGCCGCCCAUCCAGUCAUCGGCGUCGCAGACCACGCGGAUUUGUGUUGUAGCAAUCCAUCCGCCUUGCUUGAACACAAAGUUCUGUUGGCAAGCUUCCAGCGCCGUGCGUGUCCUGGAGCAGCGGACGGUAGCAAUUGAAGCACGCGCGUACGUGGGAUACUACCCUACGGUCCUACCCUACUUGCGGGUUGCGGCCUUUUCCUCUUUGAGAAGACGUGCACUCCGACUGCUGCAUCGAUCGUUGUGACUCGUGGGACCCUAUUGGCAUCGCGUGUGCCGCUAUAUAAGCUGGGGUGCUCACACAGCAGCUCCGUCACUCAUCCCACCCUGAUACACUCGUUAACUCGUAACGAACAAGCAGCCAUCGAUGGAGGCUCCACGCAAGCUGUCUCCGCCGCGCUCGUGCUGGUGCUGCUGCUCGCGGCCACGGGGGAGAUGGGAGGCCCGGUGGCGGUGGCGGAGGCUCGGAAGUGCGAGUCGCUGAGCCACAGGUUCGCGGGCCUCUGCCUGCGCGGCCACAACUGCGCCAACGUCUGCAGGACCGAGGGCUUCCCCGGCGGCAAGUGCCGCGGCGCCCGCCGCCGCUGCUUCUGCACCACCCACUGCCGCUAGUAGCCUAGCGGCAUGCAUGCGUGCUGGCACCUUUGUGCGUGUGAUUGUGUCCAUGUCCAUGAAUAAACCUCAGCUUGUCUACUAUCUUGGCAUGCAGGCCGAGCUGGGUAUAAGAAACAACUUCUUCUUGUGUCCGUUCCAUGUUUGGGUUCGUCCUCAAAGUUGCAGUGAGGUUCGAUGUGUUCCUUUCACGUGUGUUGUGUUGUGUGCGUGUAAGCGUGUUCCCUCAGUCACUCAUUUGCUCCGUACACGGAACGACGUGCAUGUCGCAUGCUACUUCCGUCUAUGCUUUUUUGUUUGUUUGAGAAAAGUGUGAUCGAGGCAUGUGUGCAGCAAGGAACACGACAGCUGACACCGAGUAAAUUGCACAGAAGUACCACAAUUGGGACAUUAGAAGCAGAUUGAUAAUUUUUACGUGUCAGUAUCAACUUUGGGGCGGGCGAGGCGUUGCAAAAAAGACUAAAACUGCAGUUUAUACGUAUUGACAGGGAAUCUGACUGAUUGGGCCCGCCUGUCAGGUGCUGACGUGGCAAGUUUUUUGCAGAAAACUCCCUUGGUUUGUGAGUAAUCAUGUAAAUGCCCAAUUAUUUCGGGAAAAAAGGCUCCUAUGAGAGGCUUUUUUCCGUUCGUAAUUUCCACCACGGAUUCGGACUCGUUUGCAAAUUUGCGUCGGUUUGAACAAGUAAAUAAAACGAACANNNNNNNNNNNNNNNNNNNNNNNNNNNNNNNNNNNNNNNNNNNNNNNNNNNNNNNNNNNNNNNNNNNNNNNNNNNNNNNNNNNNNNNNNNNNNNNNNNNNNNNNNNNNNNNNNNNNNNNNNNNNNNNNNNNNNNNNNNNNNNNNNNNNNNNNNNNNNNNNNNNNNNNNNNNGGCGUUGCAAAAAAGACUAAAACUGCAGUUUAUACGUAUUGACAAGGAAUCUGACUGAUUGGGACCGCCUGUCAGGUGCUGACGUGGCAAGUUUUUUGCAGAAAACUCCCUUGGUUUGUGAGUAAUCAUGUAAAUGCCGAAUUAUUUCGGGGAAAAAGGCUCCUAUGAGAGGCUUUUUUCCGUUCGUAAUUUUCACCACGGAUUCGGACUCGUUUGCAAAUUUGCGUCGGUUUGAACAAGUAAAUAAAACGAACAAAAAAACAAUCCCGUGCAGGAUUCGAACCGGGGACCUGCGGUACAGCAGAGCAGCGGGCUAGCCACCGCGCCAUGGCUGCGCUCGCGUCAAGAAGCAGGCAGAACGGUUUUUAUACUAGACAUGGGCAGGCUGGGCCGGCCCACCGAGGCCUGCAUUGUUUUUUCCUUUCGCACUUACCUGGCGUAUUGGGGCUCAUUCGUUGCCCAGAUUUCUUUACGUUUCAUUUCUCUUACUUAUUAUGCUUUAUUUUUUAUUCUGGUUUUGGUUUAUUUUUAGGUUUUUCUUUCUUAUUUUUUCAUUCGCUAGGUUGGUUUAUCUCCUGGAUUUUUAACAUAUUUACUGAACAUUUUUUAUGAUGGGUUUUAGUAUAUGAUGAACAGUGAACAUUUAUUUCAUGUAAUGAACUUUUGGUAAUAUACAUUGAACAUGUUUUCAAUGCCAAUUUAAUAUUUUCCUAAUAUAUGUUGAAUUUGUUUCUUAAGAUAUGAUGACAUUUUGCAUAAUGCGCGGUGAAAUUUUCGUAAUUUAUGGUGAACAUUUUCUUAAUACACGAUGAGUUUCAAGAAUAUUAUGAUUACACAAUUUCUUAAUUUAUAGUAAACAUUUUUAAUACACGAUGAACUUUUCUUACAAACAGUGAACACUUUUCUAAUAAUAUGAACGUUGAACAUAAUUUGAAUGCAAAUGGAAUAUUUUUGUAAUAUAUGUUGAAAUAUUUUCUUAAGAUAUGAUGAAAAGUUUACUUAAUGCACGGUGAUUUUUUUAUAAUUUAUUGUGAGCAUUUUCUUAAUACACGAUGACUUUCAAGAGCAUUAUGGUGAACAUUUUCUUAAUACAUGGUGAAUUAUUUGCAUUUCAAGAAAUGUUCAACAUGGGUUAAAAACUUAUUGUGUAAAUCAUUCUUGCAUUUCAAGAAACACGUCGAUUUUUUUAAUAAAAUUUGAACACUUUUAGUGCAUUUUGGAGAUUUAUUAUGAUUACAAAUUUAUAUUUAAUACAUGUUGUCAACUUUCUAAUUAACUGUGCAUUUAAAAAAAUAAAAUAUAUAUGUAUUAAUAUCAUGAAUAACAAAUAUAUAUGGGCCGUGCCUGUGUUCUAGUCUGGUGCUUGACACUUAAUAAUACUAAUAUGUAAUCGCAAAAUAUAUAUGUAUUAAUAUCAUGAUUAAAAAAAACAGUAACCCAGCGCGCAGCCACGCUGGGCCAAUCGCCGGCCCAACGUCUUCAGCAUCUACUAUCUACUAUCUAUCUAUCUACUACCCCUAUAAAAAGAAGAGAGGGGCAGAUCCAAACAAUCUCAUCCAUCCAUCAGCAAAAUUCAAUGACUUAAUCCUUCGGUGUUUAACGCUGCAAACCACGCAUUAAGCCACUAACAAGCCAUCGAUCGAUAACCCAGCCCCGCAGUUAAUCACACGACUCUCGCCCCUGCCCGCACCUCCCUCUUCGCACGACUCUCACCCCUGCGCGCACGACCUCCACCUCCUCCUCCCGCGCCGUUCGCCGCCCCGCAAACUCCGGCAGCCGUUAACCGCCCUUCGCCGCGGGAGCAGCCGCUCGCCACUGCAGCCGCCGCCCGCGGGAGAAGCCGCGGGAGCCGCUCGCCGCUCGCCGCGGGUCGCCCUUUGCCAUGGUCGCCGCCGGAGCCGCCCCGCCCCUGGAUCCGCUCGCCGUUGGUCCCCGCCGGAGCUGCCCCGCCCCUCCCCGGCGCUCCAACCCCAACUCCCCGACUCUCCAUCCUCCCCGCUUCUCAUCACCACCGCCGCACUCCCCGAAGCCCAUCUCUCUCCAGCCUUCCUGCCCGCAUGCAGCCCUCGCCCUCGGCACCGCACGGGCCAGGCCCUCUCUCCUCGGUUAUGGCCACCAUGGAGAACCUGACCCGUAGGGCAUACCCUCCUCCUCUGAUGCGUAACACCCAUCCCUGCCCCGGCGGCUGGGAUCAUGUCCGCCAUCAUGAGCAGGUGCUCCGCAUCCGAGUGCACCGACUCAGAGGUAGAGGUUGGGCUGUAGUUCUUGGACGCCAAGGAAGAACGCAAGUUGUUGCCGCCGCCGAAGAUGAAAACUGGUGGUAACUGGUAAGCCUCUGCAAGCCCCCACCUAGCCUCCCGCCUCUUAGUUCUUCUCCUUUUUUACUCUAGAUGGAUGAUGUCUGAUCUUGUUCACUUAGUCUCCAAUGCGUGAGGAAGAAAAACAGUCACCUCUAACGUCGAUCAGCAGAGCCCAUGUCUUUUGCAUGUAAAGAGACUCUGAGUUAGUGGUUUUCUAUUUACUACAUGCAUACAUCCAAGAACGACUCUACUGAAAAGUAUUAGAAAUUAUUUACAAAUAGCUUUAAGCAAGAAAUGCAACGAGAUGAUUACAUUACAAUGCUCUUUUCUCUCUUCGUUACUACAACCUUGAUGAUGCUUGGGUGAUUCAACUGAAUAGUUGAUGGAUUAAAAUUCAUAUUACAAUGUGGAAAAUGUAGCAGUUUCAGAUUACAAGAUUCAUGUUGCCGUUGUAUAUAAAGGGAGAAUUAAUGUAGUUGCUCUGUAGGAAGCAUGUAGUUUCUCUGUAGGACUCCUGGUGUGCUGCUGGAAUAAACUGGAGGUACAUGUUUUUGUAAUUUUUUGUUGAUAGCUUACCAAGCUGACCACUUGGUAGAGGUACAUGUUGAUUUGUUCUCUUUCAGGUGAUGGAACUCUAUCCUACGCGCAUAGCAGUGAUGGAACAUAGCGUACUUUCACCCUUUUUUCCAGAUCGAGAUGGUGGAGGCAGCCAGUGUCGUGGCCGAGCGCUGGGGAGCUUGUCGGUGUUUUGAUGGAGAAGGCCGGCCGCCUCCUCUCCCUACCAAGUCUUUUUGGCCCAUAGAUCGAGUUCAUGGUUGAUAAGGAAGGUGUGGUCGAUUUCACCAGGCUGGGUCCGAAGGUCCCGAAGUCCUAUGGCAUGAACUGGCCACGGCGCAUCCGGCUGGAUGCACUUGCUCAACACCUUUCCAUCUCUGUACAAUCAGGUAGAUAUUUUCUCACGUGCCAAAUAUUAUUUUUAGGUUGCCAAAUAGUAGUCUAGGAACUAUAGAAAGUGGAUUGCUGAGUUUGCCAAGCAUAAUAGCACACCUAUUAUCAGAUGACCUGAAGAGUAUAUCAAGCAAAGAUGCUUUCAGAUUUAUGCAUGCCUAUAUUAGGUUCCUACUUGUGUGAAGAUAACACUUUGCAUCAGGCUUGUGAGCAACCGUAAGUUGUUUUGCAUGUGAUACUACUUGUGUGAUUAUUUUUACCUUCGGAAAAUUUCCUUCUUAUUAUAUAUCAUAUGGAAUUCUUCAACCAGAGGAGAGCAACUCAAUGAGUUUGCAUACAUUCAGCCAUCUAUGUUGAUGCAACUCAACUAACAAAGAGUAUUUAAGAAAAGACUGCAGUUUGUAAAGCCAGUGGACAAAUUAGUUCUGCACAGUCCGGCAUUAGCGGCGUGCAUGCAGUAAUUCAUCAAUGUUGGGGGUCAGUGCUAUGAACAUCAAGCUUCACCUUUACCAGUGGCAUUAAUUUGUUGUUUUUGUUUUAUAUCAAAUAAUUUACCAUUCUUCAGUUUUGCAUAUCAUAUUUUGGUUCUGAAUUUGUAUUUGGAUAUUUCUGCAACCUUAUUUCUAACAUGCCUUCAACUACUGUUUAUCGCACAAAAAGUCGAAAAAUGUGGAAUAGAGAACUAUUACGGGUAAUACGAAUUGUUUUCUCAUGCAGACUACAAAUUCUCUGUAAUUCACGUGGUUUUGGAAUUUGUUUAAUGUGCAAAAUAUGUACAAGGCUUGUGAGCGGCCAUUUUUAGCCAAGUACUUGUAUAAGUUCUCUUGUAACUUAGCUAUCAGCUUAUUACGAAAGGCUUUGAGGAUUCUUAAUCUAAACUAAAUUUUUAUACCUGUAGUAAUCUUCUGUUAUGAUUUAAUAUUGCACCACGUUAGUCUUGCAUCACGUUAGACCCUGGGUUUGUACUUGCUGCAAAUGCUGUAGGAACUCAACGGCUGUACUUGCUGAAAAUUUCAAUUGAUCAACAUGGGAGUAGUGGUCUCAUGAUCUAAGACUAAGAGUAGAUUUAUUUAUUCUGUUCUAAUAUGUUUAAGAGGGGGAUGAGAAAGUUUCUGCUUAGGUUUGCGUUGCAAGUGAAAGCUUAGUUUAGUAGCAAGGUUAUAACGUGCGUUGCACGUGCAAACUUACUAGUAGUAUAAAGAAGUUCUCGCCUCUUUUACUUCGCGAGGGCAGCCGUGGCGGGGUGGCUAGCCUGCUGCUCUGCUGUACCUCAGGUCGCCGGUUCGAUUCCUGCGCGGGAUUCAGGAUUUGUUCCUUUUAUUUACUUGUUCAAACCGACGCAAAUUUGCAAACGAGUCCGAAUCCGUGGUGGAAAUUACGAACGGAAAAAAAGCCUCUCGUAGGAGCCUCUUUCUCCGAAAUAAUUGGGCAUUUACAUGAUUACACACAAACGGAGGGAGUUUCCUGCAAAAAAUUUGCCACGUCAGCACCCGACAGGCGGGCCCAACCUGUCAGAUUCCCUGUCAAUACGUAUAAACUGCAGUUUUAGUCUUUUUUGCAACGCCUCGCCCAAAGUUGGUACUGACACGUAAAAAUUACCAAUCUUGAUACCAAUCUGUUUCCAAUGCCUCAAUUGUGAUACUUUUGUGCAAUUUACUCGCUGACACCCGUCGCUGCUCAUGCUCAUGCAUGAUGGACUGGCCACGCGUAAAAGGUCCCGGCCUCUAGGAGUGCGAAGUUAUGGUGCUCGGGCAGUCGGGCACCAUGAUGCCCUUUAUUUUCAUUUUUUUAAAACACACACACGCACGCGCGCGUGCGCGCGCGCACACACACAUAUAGAAGUAAAAAAACAAAAAAAACAAAAUCUGUGGAAACAUGUUAUAUGUGCACUGCGGAUCCAUGAAAUUUUGUUUCCAAAAAAAUGUAUUGUGUAAGCUGUACAAAAAAAGAUUCUGUCCCAAAAGCAAAAAGAGGCCCAUUUGAAAAAUACAUAUUUGUCUUUUCUUUGUACGCCUCAUGUGAAAGUAAGAUGUUAUGAAAUUUUGCACAUACAUAGUAUACAUGUGAGUGUGUUUACAAAAAAUUCCAAUCUUUUUUCCCUAUAGAAAAUGUUUUUUCGCGACCUCUAGCAGGUUCAAAGCUGCUUCCUAUUCAGCGCUUCACCCGCGCUGGUUAAAGGCGUCCACGUACGUAAACCAACUGGGCCGGCCUGUAAUGCAUUGAAACAUUCCUGAUUUUUGUGCAGCUUUGUGGUCACUUCUAGGAAGCUUCUAGAAGCAUCAAACCAUUUUUGGGAAGCUUUUGACCGAUGUUUUCUUUGCCUGUUUUUUAAUUUUCAUUUUUCGUUUUUCUUUUUCUUUAUUUAUUAUUUUGUAUUUAACUUUUUUAAAUUCACAAACCUUUUUAAUAUUCAUGCACUUUUUAAAAUCUGUGAAUAUUUUUUAAAUUUAUAUUUUUAUAUAAAUUCGUGAACAUAUUUAAAAUCCAUAAACAUCUUGAAAUUCAUGAACUUUUCCAAAUCCGAAUUAUUUUUCAAAUCAUUGUUUUUAUUUCAAAUUUGUGUUUUUUUUAAUUCAUGAACUAUUUUCCAAUCCAUGAUUUUUAUUCAAAUUCACAAAAAGAAACUCUGUUUGUUCCAAAAGUCAACGGUCUACAGGCCGACCAGGUCAACCAUGAAGAGCGACUAGGCGCGUGAGCUUGAUGAGCGAGCUGCUCGCUCGCAUAGCUAGCCCUGCCUACACAGGGGGGCGAGUGAGCGCUGCCUAGCUACCAGGCGCAGUGAGCGCUAACUAGGAGCUGCCACAGCAAAAAGCAUAGCUGGCUUCCCUCUUAAUGACAAAUUUGCACAAAAUGGACCUUUUGAAGAAAUCUAAGCCCAAGAGGCCCCUAAUUCACCUAUGGACCCCCUCCAGUGGAUGAUUGCGGUUCAUAUAUUAACAUGGUCAGUAUUAUCACGAUUUUACCUGCUACUUAUGUCCGACGAUCAAAAUUGGUCCAUAUAUCGUCACAUAUAUAUAAGUAAACUAAAUAGUUGCUCGUGCCACUAGUGGAAAAAGGCUCAUUUGUCCCGGUUCUGGAACCGGGACUAAAGGGUCGAGACUAAAGCUCAAACCUUUAGUCCCGGUUUGCUUAUGAACCGGGAGUAAAGAAGCUCCACGUGGCCGCUGUCUGGAGCUCCACCUUUACCAACCAGGACUAAAGAAUUUUUUUUAAAAAAUUUAUUUUUCUGAAUUUUGUUGAAUUUUUUUUGAUUUUUUUCUUAUUUUCAAAUUUCUGAAUUAUUUGACAAUUUAAUCUCUAAUCAUCCCUCAUCACUGCUCACUGCUCAAUUAUAAACCACUCAUUUCAAAUCGUCUAACUUCCCAGCAAGUCACGCAUCUUCUCACUACUCCAUCCUGAGCAUGCUUAACUUUCGAGUUCUAUUCCCCCUAGUUUUCAAGUGCUUUUCCUGACAAUACUAAGCUGUCAAUCCUAUUAACACUUAGGAGUUGAACUUGAGCAUUAAGCACCGUUUGAGUUUGAAACUAUUAUUCUAAAAAAACAAUUAUUAUUUAGUAACACUAAUAUUUCUUGAAUAAGUAGUUUGACCAUAGUUUGACCAGAUUUGACCAUAGUUUGACCACAAUUUGACCAAAAGUCAAAAAAGAAAAAAUAAUUAUUUAUUAACACUAAUAUUUCUUGAAUAAGUAGUUUGGCCACAGUUUAAUCAGAUUUAAUGGAAAGUCAAAAAAACUGAAAUUUGAGCAUAUUUGUUUUCUUUCAGAAUUUCAGGAUUCUAAAAAUUUGCAAACAGGUCUACGGCUGUCAAAAUCGAAUGUGGAUUUUCGUGCUUUUUUUUGAUAUAUUAUGCGUUUUUUCGACAUCGUAUGCAAAAGAUAUGACCGUUUUACUUUUUCAUAACACUUUUUUUGCAAAAUAUGUCCAAAUUUAAGCUUUUUAAUUUUCCUAACUAGUAGAUGUAAUAACAUAACUACAUCUCGAAGGAUUUAAUUUUUUAAGUUUUUAUCAUUUUCUUUUGGAUUUUAAAAGACUGAAAAGGCGAUACACGGGGGGUAGAGUUUGAAUCUUUAGUCCCAGUUUACGACACGAACCGGGACUAAAGAGUGCGAUGCCCUUUAGUCCCGGUUCGUGUCUCAAACCGGGACUAAAGGUCCCAUUUGAACCGGGACUAAUGUCUUCUCGACGCCUUAGCCGCUUGAACCGGGACUAAUGCUCAUAUUAGUUUCGGUUCGUGAUGCAACCGGGACUAAAGUGUACAUUGAGCUGUGACCAAAGCCCUGUUUUCUACUAGUGUGCAUUGUAAUGGGGCACACUAUUUUCUACCCAAACAUUGUGAUUUAUCGUACAUUUUGUUGUUAUAUGAUAAUUACAUACUAAAUGUCGCAACUGAAUAAGUACUUAUUGAUUUACCAAAGAAAACAUGAUUCUAUUAGUUAAAUCAAUAAGGCGUGGACCAGUUGAGGUGGUUCAAAAGAGAAUCGAUGAGAUAUUUUUAAUAAAACCUUGUGUUCAUUUUAAGUAGGAUAGAUGUUGCCGCAUUUUUCUAAAUCAUUGGGUUUAGAUUAGGGGGGUGGGUGCAAAUCAAGCGUGUGGCAACUCUAACGAGCUUGCAAAACUGGUUGUAUGUGCAAUCUUAUUAUAGCAAUCAAAUAUAUCUAAAUGCAUCUUUUUUUUUGAGGAGGUACGCAAAUUGUGCACCUUAGCUUUAUAGAAGGAGAGAAAUAAGACAUACAACAACGUCUACCAUUCGCUGCGGAGAACGAAGGCGACCAACUCCACACCCGGUUCGAACAAGGACAACCAAACACAACAACCUACCCAACACCGAGCCCCUCGCCGCGUCUCGACCGACACUGAAGACCUCCGAAGAACAGCAACUCCAGCUUCCUUGGAGUAGCCAGCGACGACCGUACAUGGCGCCGAAGGAGAAAGAUCCGGGUAGCGGUGAACACCGGAGGAGCGCAUCAUGGGACCUCGAGUCUCCCAGCAUAAUGCUCCCAACAGAGUAACAACCUCAAAGACGUUGCCAUCAUGCCGAUCCUACGAAUCAAGGCUUUCACCCCGGAGACAGCUGACGAAAUGAGGUCGCGAGGAAGAUGGCGUUGCACUCGGCGAAGCCUCCAAGAAGGGGAAUGACACCCGCAGGCGCCAUCAACGCCGGUCCGGCCACAACCGAACAGGAUUUUCAUCCGUAGCUCUGCACAUCUCCGAGUCUCCAAGAUCCCGACCAGCCCCGAUCAGAUGCCUCGCACCGCCGUCACCACAACAACUUGCCAUCGAAGCCCCCCCUCACUGCCGAGGGGACACGCCUAAAGCCAUAGCCUUCAACAUCGACUAGGAGCUGCAGCAUCCACCGAGUGGUGCAAAGCCAUUUCCGCCACAGUGGCCUUCACCCAUCCCAGGGGACUGCCACCAGAAUGGAUCCGACCCGCACCUCCGACCAUCCUCCAGCACGCACACCGCCGAGGCAUCGCCGCACGCCUCACAAGGUAGCAACCGAACGCCCGCUGCCCGCCAAGACCCUUCCUGGCAAGGCCUCGCAGCGCCGCCGCCGCCAUGGCUGCGCUCGCACCGCCGCCACCGCCAGUGCCGGUGCACCACCUGCAUCCUCCAUCCUGCUACGUUCCACGCAAGGAUCCAGCGAUAACCGCCGCACCCCAUGUCGUGAGAACCUCAAGGACGCCGGCCAGUGCCAAAAACGCACCAGAUCUGGCCCGAGAUCCUCGGGUCCGCACGGAUCGGCCCGCUCGGAACUGGCCAGGCACGAACUCCCCCGCGGCGAGGAGCACCAACCCGCAGCCGUCCUGCGCACUCCACCGCGACGCGCCGCCACCAGACCGCCGCGACGCCCCACACCACCUCCGGCCAGCGCGCAUCUCCGCCGCGUCGGCCACCGAGAUUCGACGCCAGGCUGAAGAAGUGGUCCCGCCGGCCUGCGCACGCGACGCGCCGCUGCCAGACCGCCGCGACGCCCCGCACCACCUCCCGCCAGCGCGCAUCCACCCGCCACGCCAGCCACCGAGAUCCGCCGCCAGGCCGAAGAAGCGGUCCCCCGCGACCACCGCUCCAGGUGAGGGCAAGAUGAAUCCCGCCGCCGCCGGCACCACACGGGCUUUGUCCGACGGCGACCGCCGCCGGCGGCGGCGGCGGCGGGGAGGGGGAAAGGGAGGGAGGCUGGGGUCGGCGGCGGGGUUAGGGCACCCGAGUCGCCCGCGGGGGGGCGACGCGGGGCAGUUAUAUCUACAUGCAUCUAGCUGUCACCAAACCAAACACUCGCUUUUUGCCUAUGUGUUCCACCCCUCAAAUUUUACUAUGCCAUGCACGACUCAAUAUUUUUCUUUGACUUUUUUUUGCUGUGAUACAUAAUAAUGAUCACAAAAAUUAGCUUUGACUACAGUGGAUUUUCACUAAAUAAGAUUGAGAGAGUGAAAAAUCACUCCCUCCUAUUCCUAUAUGUCCAAUCCUCACAUAUGCAACGAAUAUAGAUCGACCUAAGUAUCAGAGCCAACAACCAAGCUUUCCGAACUAAAACAAUUGAAGGAGCGUAAACAUCAAGAACCAUCAUCACCCAAAAACAAAUGAAACCUUCUCACAGGGCCCCCACGUCGCUCUCUCCCCGGGGCGGCACGGGCGGCGACCACCGCCCCUCUCGCGGCCUCCCCAACUCCAGCCUCUUCUCCCCCUCGCCGUCGCCGGUGGCCUCCGGCAGGCAAAGCCUGCGCGGAGCCACCGGCGACGGGGCGCUCUCUGUAGCUGCUGCUCGCUCGGGAGGAGGGGCGCUCGCAUGCGGGUCGCGGCUGUCCGGCGCUCGGCCUCGUGGCGGCAUUGCUGCUCGCGGCGGAGGCAGUCUCCGGCAUAUGGCGCGGCGUCUGGUCGCGGCGGUGGGCGCGCCGUCGCGGUGCGCGCGGUCACGGUCGUCGGCCUCGUGCGGUCCCGAUCCGAUCUGGGAUCCUGCUGGCGGCGGUUGGCGCGGACGGUGUGUGGCGCCGGGGCGGCGGCCUCGGUCCGAGCUCCUGAUGUGGCCGGGGCGUGGACGGCGCGCGCUCGCGUGGUGGUGGCUCGGUUCUGGCUGUGCGUGUGGGGCGCAGCGACCAGUCGGGCGUGGUGGCUGCAGGUGCGUGUCGGGCGCAGUGACCGGCGGUGCGUGACGGGUGUGCUUCUCUGGAGUGCGAGGUGUGCUGCGGAGGGGAUCCUGCUCGUCUGCUCUACUGCUUUGCAUGUGCAACUCCGAUUGCAUAUGGUGCGAGGUGCAUCGAUCUGGGUGCUGCGCUUCGCGAUGCGGCGUGGGUUGAUGCGGUGGUGGUGGCCACGGUGGUGCUGCGGUGGUGGACGGCGGCUUCGGCCAGGGGGUGGUGCAUGUCAUGUCGCGGUGGAUCAUGGGAUCCCGUGGCCUGAAUGAGGUCGGCCUCAGUAGGUGGUGGCUGGUGGGCGGUGGUCGGUGGUGGUAGGUGGUCGGCGCAUCUCCAGGAGAAAUCUUUGCUUCAGCCUUCUUCGGAGAUGGCGACGGCGGCGCCCGCGGGUGCAGUGAUCUUUCUUGGAAGCGUUGUCGUGGAGGUGUGCUCCUCCUCCCCACGGAUUUGGCUCCGGAGGGAAACCUCAGAUCCGCUGGGUCGGGCGAUGAAGGCGUCUUCGCGUCUUUCUCCUCCUUGGGCGCAUCGUCUCGGAGCCGGCUACGACUGGGAGACUGGUGGAUUGCGGCAUCUUCGCCGUGGAUGGCGGCAUCUUCGCCGCGUGGUCUGCUGAGGCGGGGCACUGGUUUCUGUUUGGCAACGAUGAUGGCGUCAAGAGGAGGUCGGGUCGCGGCGUGGACUUCGGUAGUCGGUUCUUCCCGGCGUGUCCGAGGUGCUCUUCUGUGGGCACGGUCGGCGCAAGUCUUGCAUAUUUCCCUAGUGAGGCUCGUCGUCAAAGUCGGAGCUGUCAGUUGCUUGCGCGUGUGGCCAUCCGGUGGCAUGUGCCGUCGUGGCUUCUAUACAGCUGUUUGCAGGUUGGCUUUGAGGUUGGAGCUCUAUGGUGAAGUCGGAGUCGCUCGUUCGAGGCAAUCGGUGAUGACGAUGACGCUUGCGACUCCUCGGCGAAUGCCAUUCUUCUUUGCAGCUUUGUGUUCCAUGUCGGUGGCCUGGUUGGCCGGUGAUGCCCAUGUCAGGUGGGUUGAGUUGUAUCGGUUUUAGCCCGGUUUUUCGCAAAUUAACCGGGCAAUUCUCUCUUCUUCUUAAUCAAUGAAAAUGGCAAAUCUUUUGCCUCGUUUCAAAAAAAAAAAACAACAACAAAUGAAGCAAGACUAAAACUAUAAAUUCAAGAACUUGUAGGGGUCACAUGGACCGCUGGAAAAAAUUUGUACCUUGAGAGCUGUGAUAUUUUUAAAACAAGAUCAGCCAGGAAUAGCUCUUAGCAACAUAUUUUUAUAGAAGAAAAUCUCUAAGCAUCCGGCAGAGUAUACCGCUUUAGCAUAUGUACAAAUCUACAAAACACACAAUAGGUGGUAUUUAAAAUUAAAAUGUAUGGAAAUAAAUGGUCAAAGUGUAGCACGCAUCUCAAAGCUCGCCCCGACGCUGGAUUCUUUGGUGUUGCCUACCGGGUGGGCACCCUAGAAAAAUCGUGUUCGUGUCCACCGGCCGAAUCGAUGCGUUUAUGAUCAACCGCUCGCCGCUCCCUACCCUUGCUAGCUCACGGCAAUCCGGUCGUCGUCGUCGUCACAGACCACGUGAGUUUUCUUGUAGUAAUCCAUGGCGUCGCCGGAUCGACCUUUGGCUCUUUCCACAUACUACCUACCUAAUUGCGGCACAUAUUUGUCGCCUUUUUCAUUUGGAUGCAACUGCAUCGCGUUCGGUUUGACCCAUGGCUUCGGCAGCUUGUGCGCGCCGCUACAUUAUAAGCAGGUGCGCUCACACAACUAGCAGCUCCAUCACUCCACCACCACCCUGAUACACUCAUAACAAGCAGUGAUCGGUCGAUGGAGGCUUCACGCAAGCUCCUCUCGGCGGCGCUCCUCCUGGUGCUGCUGCUGGCGGGCACAGGGGAGAUGGGAGGCCCGGUGGCGGUGGCGGAGGCGCGGACGUGCGAGGCGAAGAGCCACAGGUUCAGGGGCCCCUGCGUGCGCCACCACAACUGCGCCAACGUCUGCAAGACCGAGGGCUUCCCCGGCGGCAAGUGCCGCGGCUUCCGCCAUCGCUGCUUCUGCACCACCCACUGCCGGCAGUAACCAACCUAUUGCCUCUACUUCGUACGUCCGCCUAGCUGCAGCCUGCCUGCGUGCAUCCUGGCUUGCUCGCACCUCUGUGCGUCUAUAGUAGUUAGCACUGUGUCCAUGAAUAAACCUCGGCCUGUCUGUCAUGGCAUGCUGAAAUGGGUAUAAGAAACGCAGGCUCUCUUUUACUCUAUAUUAACUAGAAGAACGCCCGUGCGUUGCAACGGGGCCACAUUAAUUUUAAGAAUUCAAUAUUACGACAUUGAUGAUCUUUUUUACCAUCAAAUCCUCACACACACAGACACACACUCUCCCUCCCUCUUCCUCACUCUCUAUCCCCCUCUCCCUCUCUCUCUAACACACACACAUAUCUAUCUUAUUGGGUACGGGACCAUAAUCCAUCUAUUUCACAGAUACACGCUACUGCAUAACAAUAUGGAUUAUGUGUAUUAUAUUUGCCACCAGAACCGAGGAAAUUAAUUUCAUGUAAAUCGACCAACCACAGCUCCAAGAAUACGCGGACGAGGUGGCUCGGAUCGGUGUCGGCGCCGUCCAGCGCGGACCACGGACCCGCUACCAAGUGCACGUACAAUGCACGUCUUCACAAAUAUUAUAACCAGAUGUGAGAAAUCACAUGCAUAGAAAAGACAUUCUGAUAGCAAUCCAAAUACCAUACUCAAUUGAAUACCUAACCUGGACAAUACUCUUAUUUCUAUGCGCCAAAAAAAAUGGAAUAGCAAAGCUAAGUAUGCCUACAUACGCUCAGAUUAUAUAUAAGAAUCUUGGGUGAACAAUUGCAACAAAGCACUAAGCAGCGAUAAAUCUAAAUAACAAAUCCAUUAACUAUGCAGGCAGCAGGCUUGUUACAACAUAGAGAGAUAGGAAAAUGUCACCUCCAGUAAUGUAGCGCAAAGGAGUGGAACGAAGCAUGAAUGAGCGGUUGUCUGUUCUUCUCCAUGUACAUGGAUCAGUAGUAGAGGCCAAGUAUAUAAGUACUUGACUGAACUCCACUCUUCGUGUACGGAGAGCCAUGUCACCUUCUCACCGCUGCAGCAUGGGAGGACGGCUGGUUCACGUGACCCUCCAGCUGGGGGAUCCAUGGUGUCUGACCGUCGAGCUCGAGGCAGAGAAGUUGAGGGCAGCAGUGGCGAGAUCCAUGCCGGCCAACCGGGCGAAGAGGAGGUCGUCGGGGAGGGACACAUCGGCAAGAUCCGGUCACCACGCGACCUGAAGAGCAACAGUGAUCUCCACAAGCUGUAGUCCGACGGCGUGCUCCAUCCCCUGCGAUGGGGUGACCAUGGCGGUGGCCACAGCUCCUCAUGCUCGCCUCGAUCUCGGCGACACACCCUAAGUGUAGGAGGCAGCAACGACCUCGACGAAAUCAUGGCCUCCAUCCCGGAACGCAUGAAGGACCUCGGCCCUAUCGCUACUCCUCCCGCCGUAGCCGCACGCGGCAGCGGACCGUGGGUAGGAGGCCAGGCGGCGUCGCCUCGGCUGACGGCAGGGAGCAGCGUUGAUUUCGGGUAGGUGGCAUCGCGAGGACGGCCGCGGCCGCGGGGAGGCACCCCGAUCAUGCUGCCAGGCCAAUCCUUCUCCUCCGACCCCCUAUCCCCGAAGAUUGCGCCGCCGCCCCGGUCGUGUUGUUUUCAUAUGCCAUUUUUUCCUGUACCUAAACAAAAGCGGGCGAGCGGAUGGCAGAGUUUUGGUCCGCCCUCUAAAAUUGCUAAACACACUUUUGGUGAGGAUUAUUGUUAAUAAAUGAAUUCAAUCAUGUCGCUCUAAAUAAAUGAAUUCAAUCAUGUGACUCUAAUUACUUCGGAUUGUUAUGUGCACACUAAGCGGGGUGUAGUUAGGAAAGAAAAUGUUUUCUAAUUAAAGUGAUUGAGUGAUUUAAGGUAAGGUUAAUUAAUUUAGAUUUGAUUUUUAGUGAUUGUUAGUAAAGUAUGAUGGGUCUUUAAAAUCUUUUAUUUGUUUCCUUAAAAUCUAUUAUUUGUUUCCUAUAGAAAUUUGCAAUAAUGGAAGGUAUCGGUUGAUUUGGAUAAGUUAGUAAAUUUAGAUCCGUGAGUGCGUGCACAUUUGGAAAGUGCUGAUUUACAAGGAAAGAGCUGAGGGGUAAAUAAACCGGUGAAUAAGAAAUCAGCAUCGAAAAAAAUCUACGACGGUUAACCUACGGAAAAACACCGGACGAAAGUGGUGGGACGAAAAAAAACCUGGAAGCAAGACUACCAACUGCUCCAUUAGGAGUAGAGAUAAUGGAUCUGUCUAGGUCUCAGUCGAAGUCUAAGUCGAUUGAUGACAUCAGCAUGCAGACUUGUUUUAUUUCUGUAAUUGUUUGUAUGUUUUUGGCGUUAUGGGCUGCCUUUGUAUUUUUAGUGGGCUUUUGUCACCUUUUCCACUGUGAGCAAUGCUUUGUUGCCAGAUUUUCCCCUCUUCCUUGUGCUUGGGCUGUACGACCACACAUAUAUGUGUGUUUUGCUAUGCAGCUACAAACUUAACAAUUAUGAAUAAAAAACUACAACCUCAAGUCCUCAACGAGUGAGGCAGCUUUUUUGUGUGUUCAAAUCAUUGCAUUUGUUUUUGUCAGAAAAAUCCUUGUAUAUGCAGUACGGUGCUUGUAGUUUUUUUAGAUGGGCAUGCAACUUAUUGUCAUUUUUCAUUCAAGGAGAAUACAAGGAUUUGAACACAAGCAAAUAUAUUCACAAGAAUAAUAAUGUGAUGCGCGCACAAGCAAUGGAUAAAAAUAAAUAAAAUGAAGAUAAAAAUUAAUAAAAGACACCAAUCGAGCACCCUCCCGCCCACGCGUGCCUUCUAGUUGCGUGCUUAUAUCACCUGUGGUUGCAUGCGGUGUGAAGUAUAUGUAGUUGCAUGCGCAACAGUAGGUUGCACGUUUGCAGUAUCAAAUUUUAGAAAACAAUAUAAAACAAAAAAUAAAAGAAGAAAAAACAUCACUAAAUAUCAGUUGAGUUUUGAAGUUACAGUCAAGGGCGAUUGUGCAACCAGAUGACAAUAUACUAAAAACUUAUUCUUUAAUAUAAAUUAAAAAUCAAAAAGUAGCAAGAAUCUUACAAUUAGAAAAGAAAAAGGAUAAACAGAAAAAAUAUUAAAACAUGAAAAAUGGUUGCAUUUGUAUCUGCACCCUGCCCACGACAAAAACCGACAUAGAGUUGUAGUCGCGGCAACACUUACAGUUGCAUGCCUAGUGACAAACAUGCAACCGCCCCUCCCUAAAAAACGCCGUAGAGAUGUAGUCGGGGCGAUCUUGGAGGGGCCCCGGAUCGCCGAGCAUCUCGUCGCCGGCGACUUCCGUUGUGAAAACCUUCCUUCCUCUCCUGUUUUCACUCUGUGUCUACGCUCUUCUCUCAAUUCAAACAGUGUCGUUGGAUGGCCUCUAGAAAGAUGUUGAGUCUUGGUCCACAUUCCAGAGACUAAAAAAAAGAAACAACAGCACACUGUCUAUAGUCACUCCCUUCACAAAAAAGCAUUAAAAAACGUGUUCGAGAAUCUGAACAAGUAACUCUUCCCUCCUUUAAUAUGCUCUUUUUUUUGAGAAAAUGAGCUCCGCUCUCAGAAUCAGACACAAAAAAUAAAUUAAUUUUUUUUCUUAAAUCCUUGGGGAAAAUGCAAACAGAAAAAGGAAAAAAUGUAUAUGAAUUAAAAAAACAAGAAAAAAAAAUACAAGCUAGUGUUGCGAGAUCGUGUGCUUGAUUUGUGUUUGCGAGCAUGGUGGAAAACAACGGCGUUAUGGUGCUCUCGUGAGACAUAGUGAGGGUACAGGAUUCACGGAGGAGUUGCAUGUUUGUCACUAGGCAUGCAAUUGCAAUCGUAACUUGGUGUCUUCUAGCAUGGUCGUAACUAAACCCAGUUGCCAACUAAACCCAUCUCUCUCGACGCCGCCCCCUCCAACAAAACAAAGCCCUCCCCCCAGUUGCGACCAAGUUAGAAGACAUGCAGUUGCGUGCCUAGUGUGGGACAUGCAACUGGGCCCCAUCUCUUUUGACGUCGCUCCCUAUGACAAAACAAAGGCCCCCCACCUAGUUGUGACCAAUCUAGAAAAACAUGUGGCUGCGUUCCUAGUGNNNNNNNNNNNNNNNNNNNNNNNNNNNNNNNNNNNNNNNNNNNNNNNNNNNNNNNNNNNNNNNNNNNNNNNNNNNNNNNNNNNNNNNNNNNNNNNNNNNNNNNNNNNNNNNNNNNNNNNNNNNNNNNNNNNNNNNNNNNNNNNNNNNNNNNNNNNNNNNNNNNNNNNNNNNNNNNNNNNNNNNNNNNNNNNNNNNNNNNNNNNNNNNNNNNNNNNNNNNNNNNNNNNNNNNNNNNNNNNNNNNNNNNNNNNNNNNNNNNNNNNNNNNNNNNNNNNNNNNNNNNNNNNNNNNNNNNNNNNNNNNNNNNNNNNNNNNNNNNNNNNNNNNNNNNNNNNNNNNNNNNNNNNNNNNNNNNNNNNNNNNNNNNNNNNNNNNNNNNNNNNNNNNNNNNNNNNNNNNNNNNNNNNNNNNNNNNNNNNNNNNNNNNNNNNNNNNNNNNNNNNNNNNNNNNNNNNNNNNNNNNNNNNNNNNNNNNNNNNNNNNNNNNNNNNNNNNNNNNNNNNNNNNNNNNNNNNNNNNNNNNNNNNNNNNNNNNNNNNNNNNNNNNNNNNNNNNNNNNNNNNNNNNNNNNNNNNNNNNNNNNNNNNNNNNNNNNNNNNNNNNNNNNNNNNNNNNNNNNNNNNNNNNNNNNNNNNNNNNNNNNNNNNNNNNNNNNNNNNNNNNNNNNNNNNNNNNNNNNNNNNNNNNNNNNNNNNNNNNNNNNNNNNNNNNNNNNNNNNNNNNNNNNNNNNNNNNNNNNNNNNNNNNNNNNNNNNNNNNNNNNNNNNNNNNNNNNNNNNNNNNNNNNNNNNNNNNNNNNNNNNNNNNNNNNNNNNNNNNNNNNNNNNNNNNNNNNNNNNNNNNNNNNNNNNNNNNNNNNNNNNNNNNNNNNNNNNNNNNNNNNNNNNNNNNNNNNNNNNNNNNNNNNNNNNNNNNNNNNNNNNNNNNNNNNNNNNNNNNNNNNNNNNNNGACGCCACCCCCUCCUACAAAACAAAGCCCCCCCUUGUAUUAUAGUGUUUGGUGCCUCUCCCCGUACAAGAAAAAUGGAAGUUCGAGUUGCAACCAAGUUAUAAAGACAUGCAGUUGUGACAUGCUUGAAAAGACAUAUAGUUGCGUGUCUAGUGUGGGACAUGCAGUUGGUCACCUCUCUCUCUUGUUGUUUGCCCCUCCGAUAAAACAAAAUCCCCCCUAGUUGCAACCAAGCUAGAAGACAUGCAGUUGCGUGCCCAUUGUGUGACAUGCAAAAAAUUAAUGCCUUCUCCCCGUACAACAGGAAAAUGAAAGUUGAGUUGCAACCAAAGUUAUAGGGCAUGCAAUUGCGACCAAGUUAGAAGACAUGCAGUUGUGUGCCUAGUGUGAGACAUGUAAUUGCGCCCCAUCUCUCUCAACGUCGCCCCUCCAACAAAAAAACGAUCCCCAGUUGCGACCAAGCUGGAAGACAUGCAGUUGCGUGCCCAUCGUGGGACAGGCAACUGGCGCCUCUCCCCGUACAACAGAAAAUGGAAAGUCGAGUUGCAACCAAGUUAGAAAGACAUGCAGUUGCGUGCCUAGUGUGGGACAUGCAAACUGGUGUCUCUCCCCGUACAAACAAAAAAUGGAAGUCAAGUUGCAACCAAGUUAUAACACAUGCAGUUGCAACCAUGCUUGAAGACAUGCGGCUGCGUGCCUAGUGUGGGCAUGCAGGGCCCCCCUCUCUCUCUCUCUCGAUNNNNNNNNNNNNNNNNNNNNNNNNNNNNNNNNNNNNNNNNNNNNNNNNNNNNNNNNNNNNNNNNNNNNNNNNNNNNNNNNNNNNNNNNNNNNNNNNNNNNNNNNNNNNNNNNNNNNNNNNNNNNNNNNNNNNNNNNNNNNNNNNNNNNNNNNNNNNNNNNNNNNNNNNNNNNNNNNNNNNNNNNNNNNNNNNNNNNNNNNNNNNNNNNNNNNNNNNNNNNNNNNNNNNNNNNNNNNNNNNNNNNNNNNNNNNNNNNNNNNNNNNNNNNNNNNNNNNNNNNNNNNNNNNNNNNNNNNNNNNNNNNNNNNNNNNNNNNUCCCUAGUAUGAGACGUGCAACUGGGCCACAUGUCUCUCGACGCCACCCCUUCGACAAAACAAAGGCCCCCUAGUUGUGACUAAACUAGAAGACAUCUAGUUGCGUGCCUAGUGUUGGACAUGCAAUUGGGCCCCAUGUCUCUCGACGCCGCCUCCUCUAACAAUACGAAGGCGCCCCCCUAGUUGUGACCAAAAUCUAGAAGACAUCCAGUUGCAUGCCUAGUGUGGGACAUGCAACUGGACCCCAUGUCUCUUGAUGCCGCCCCCUCCAACAAAAUAAAGGGUGCCCCCUAGUUGCAACCAAAAAGCUAGAAGAUAUGUAGUUGCGUCCCUAGUGUGGGACAUGCAACUCGGUCCCGUGUCUCUCGAUGCCGCCCCCUCCAACAAAACAAAUGGUGCCCCUAAUUGUGACCAAAAAAGCUAGAAUACAUGCAGUUGAGUCCCUAGUGCGGGACAUGCAAAUGCGCCCCAUGUCUCUCGACGCCACCUCCUCCGACAAAACAAGGGUCCCCCCAAAAUUGCGUCCAUGCUCGAAGACAUGAAGUUGCGUGCCCAUUGUGGGGACAUGCAAAAAAACGGGCACCUCUCCCUGUACAAAAAAUGGAAGUCGAGUUGCAACCAAGUUAUAAAGACAUGCAAUUGCGUGCCUAGUGUGGGGCAUGCAACUGGGGCCCCUCUCUUGAUGCCGCAACAACCCCCCCUCCCCCAAGUUGUGACCAAGUUAGAAGACAUGUAGUUGUGUGCCUAGGGUGGGACAUGCAAACUGGUGUCUCUCCUCGUACAAACAAAAAAUAGAAGUCGAGUUGCAACCAGUUAUAACACAUGCAAUUGCUUCCAUUCUCGGGGACAUGUAGUUGCAUCCCCAGCUGUUUGGCAUGCAACUGGGACCCUCUCUCUCGAUGCUGCCCCAUCCGACAAAUCAAAAGGUCAAUCUCGAGUUGCGUGCCUAGUGGCAAGCGUGCAACCAUUCCUUUCCCCUGACAAGGAAACACAGAGUUGAAUCGGGGGCAACACUUACAGUUGCAUGCAUAGUGGUACACAUGCAAGUACCCCUUCCCCGACAAAAACACCACAUAGUUGCAAUCACGUUGAAGAUAUGCAAUUUGCGGUAGGGGGCGAUAUUUGCAGUUGCAUGGCUCAUGGCAUGCAUGCAAGUGCCCGGCCCGACAAAACACCACAAAAUUUCAGUCCGUACAUGACACUUGGAGUUGUGUGCCUAGUGAUAGACAAAUAAUUUUCCACUCCCAACAAAAUUCCACAUAGUUGCAGUCGCAUUGAAGGCAUACAUUUACGUCGGGGUGCGACACUUGCAUAUGUGCCUAGCGUUAAACAUGCAGCUGCCCCCUCCCCUGACAAAGAACAACUGAUUUACAGUCGAUGAAGUCAGGGAGAUUGUGCAACCAGAUGACAAUGAUGUAAAAUUUCAAAAAUAAAACUUGUUGAUCAGUAAAAAAUUAAAAAUAAGGUAACUAGAAUCGUGCCAAAAAGGUUUGAGAACAAUGAUAUAAAAGGAAAAAAAAUAAAAGCAAGAGAAAUGUGAAAAUAGAAAAUGUAAAAAGACAUUCAAACAUGACAAGGAACAUAGACGAAAGAAUCAUUUAAAACACUUACAAGCCCUGUUCAAGAAUUUAUCCGAUUAACCAGUUAACUUGCCGAUUAAUCCCUACUCGUAGGGUCACCGAGUAGCCUAUAAACCGAUAAAUCGUCCGAUUAAUUGAUUAAAUGGCCGAUUAACUUGCGGAUUAGCUGAUUAAUCCCCUACUCACCAGCCAACCGAGCAGCUACCAGUUAACGAUUUCCUCAACAAUGCUUACAAGUAAAUAAAAAACUAAAAAAGAUACAAAAUAGCUGCCCUCCGUAGUUCUCAGCUGCUUCCCCACCCCUCUUCGGACGGUUUGUUUCCCUCGUUGAAAAGUUAAGUGCAAAACUAGACAAAAAAUAAACCUCUCAAGCCGAGCCCAUAGCGCAUAUUUGGCCUACACAAGAGAAAAGAAACAAUAAAAGAAAAAGGAAAUUGGCCCAUCGCACACCUAAGCAAUCUAUUUUAAUAUAAGACAGACAUAGCGGCAUGGAUCUUGAAGCAACAACGAUCUAAUGGCCAGGGAGUCGACUGAGUUUUAACAGUCCCGUAUGAACCUAAAUAGAGAAAAAAAUAGUAGAAAAAAAUUAAAAAGUCGAGGCCUAUGAAAUAAAGUGCUUAGAGCAUCUCCAGCCGCGCCCCCAACAGCCCCCCCAGGCGACUUUUUCGGCACCGACACCAAAAAAACGGCCCAGUCGCGUCCCCAGGACGACGAAAAGCGCCGGUUCGGCCCUUUUUUCCGUUCGGCGGCCGCAGGCCGAACCCGACACACUUGGGGGCGCUUGGGGGCUCCGGCACAAGGGAAAAUUACGGCUGGCCCACGCGGUUAGGUGAAAAGUCAAGAUUUUCUUCCCCGACCGCCUCCCACCCCCGCGCUCUCGGCCGCAACUAGGUAUAUCCCGGCGCCGCCCCGCCGCCCUUCACCGGUAGAUAGACAUUCCCCGUUGGAAAAAUAGCAUAGGUUCGCCGCGACAGCCCCUCCGACACCAGCUGGGCGUUUCCGGCCGCCGUUUCCGGCCGCGGAGGGUCAGUUUAGUGGCGGGUGCACGCCCACCGCGCGCAAGGUGUUCGGCGAUUUGCCUACCUCAGCGAUGGACUCGGAUGACGAGGAAGUGCUCACCGCGCUGCUGGAGGAGGAAGCCGAGGCCGACGUCCAGGAAGAAGAGUAUCUCAUGGUGCUCGCCGCCCUCGCCCAGCUGCUGGCGAGCAAUGAAAAGCCGCGGCGAGGUGGCUCGGCGCCGGGGCGGGUUAAAGCAAAGAACCGGCAUCGUCUCGAAGGCUACUACAUGCUCUACUCCGACUACUUCGCCGAUGCUCCACUUCACGGCGACAGAACAUUUCGGCGCCAUUAUCGGAUGAGCAGAAAGCUUUUCCUCCGGAUUGUGAAUUCCAUCCGGGAGUUCGACAACUACUUCAAAUGCAAGAUGGAUUGCACCGGCAAACUUGGAUUCACCUCGAUCCAGAAAUGCACGACAGCGAUGAGGAUGCUUGCAUACGGAGCUCCCGGUGACGCACAGGACGACUAUGGGCGCAUGGCCUAGUCCACCAGCAUAGAGUGUUUCUACAAGUUCUGUCGGGCAGUGGUGGCAGUGUUUGGACCGCAAUACUUGAGAACACCCAAUGCGGAAGACACUGCUCGGAUCCUAGCAUAGAAUUCAGCAAGAGGAUUUCCUGGGAUGCUUGGAAGCAUCGACUGCAUGCAUUGGAAAUGGAAGAAUUGCCCAUUUGCUUGGCAGGGGAUGUACAAAGGCACCAAAGGCGGUUGCAGUAUGGUACUUGAGGCGGUGGCCACACAAGACCUCUGGAUUUGGCACUCCUUCUUUGGUAUGCCACGAACUCACAAUGACAUCAACGUGCUGCAGUUCUCUCUUGUCUUUGCCAAGCUUGUUGAAGGUCAUUCUCCUCCAGUGAACUUCGAGAUCAAUGGGCGGCAGUACAACAAGGGGUACUAUCUAGCUGAUGGCAUCUAUCCGAGAUGGUCGACAUUUGUCAAGACCAUCAAAAACACUGUUCCUGGAGGCAAGAAUGCCUGGUUUGCAAAGAUUCAAGAGGCUUGCAGGAAGGAUGUCGUGCGGGCAUUUGGUGUGCUCCAAUCUCGAUUUGCUGUUGUCCGGUACCCCACUCAGACCUGGUCGAAAGAUCAAAUGUGGGAGAUCAUGACCUGCUGUGUCAUCUUGCACAACAUGAUCAUUGAGAGCGAGUAGGAAGAUCCAGUGUUUGACACUGAACCAUACCACCGGCAGGGUCCUCUUACCCAAGUUGAUCACCAGCUACCGUCAACAUGGACUGCCUACCUCAGUAUGCGUCAGGAGAUCCGAGACCCACAGGUGCAUCAUCAACUGCAGCAAGAUCUGAUAGAGCACCUAUGGAGGCUCAAGGGCGACACCGGGCGUGACGUGUGAUGAAAUAUGAGUUUUUAUUUGUUGAACUAUAUAAUUUGUAUUGAACUAUUUGUUGUUGUACUAUUUUGUUGAAGUAUUUGAAAUUUCUGUGAUGAAAUAUGUAAUAAAAAAUAUUUAUUUUGAUAAUUGAACGCUGAGCCACGGCGAACCACGCCGAAUAUGGGCCUAUUCUCGCCCAUAUGGGCCUUUUUCGUCGAAAUGAGGCUUAAAAAACGGGCCAAAAUCGGCGACUGGGGGCGACGACUGGGCGCAAAACCGUCCCCAGCGCCGAAAGAGUCGCUGGCUCGCCCCCAGGGGCGAUUUUUAUGCGCCCUGGGGGGCCGAACGGCUGAAGAUGCUCUUAGUACUGCUACUAACUAAGAACAAAAAAACAUACACAAGUCACUUCACUCUAUCUGUUUGUUCCCUUCCUGUACGAAAACAUCAAAAAUAAAAUAUAAAACGGACCUAAACCUUGUAAAACAACUAGCAAAAUAAAGCUCAACACACAAAGAAAAGGACCCCCGCCCAGCCCACCAUCUCAAGCCUGCCCCGAUCAAAAAAGCAAAGACAAAAAAACAGGCCCACCCAGUUCGUUCCUUAUGUGUGCUGAUUUACAAGAAACAACAGGGCUGCACGGAUCCUAAAGCAACACAAAGAUCUAAGGGUCAACAAAUCGACUUAGACUUCACUAAAAAUCAGUCGACUGAUUUUUAGCAGAGCCGAUUAAUAAUUACUCCCUCUGUAAACAAAUAUAAGAACGUUUAGAUUACUACUUCAGUAAUUUAAACGCUCUCAUAUUUCUUUCCGGAGGGAGUAUUUCUCGUGUCGUCGAUUUCCCCUUUCGAUAUGUGGGUUCACAUUUUCAUUUUUGAGCUGCCCACCUGAAUUUUCAUUUCAAGCCGAAGAAUGGCAAACCGACAGGUUACAGGGUUUCCACCCGUUCAGAGAAGGGAAACAUUUCACGACGGGGCACCGACCGAAGCUUCGGCCGGUCGCGUCCACGCGCGAACGUACCGAAUAACUCACUUAGCGACACAUAGGAUGGGGGCCCCACCCACGUGCCUCUUCUCCCUCCUGUUUCUCUUCUUCCCUUCGCUUGUCUCUCUCUCUCCGCGCUGCCAUGGCCAAGCUUCGCCGGCCGGAGACCUCCCAGGGAGCGCCACCGCCAUGGGAAUCAGCCGAUCCGGCUGCCCUCGGACAGAUCUUCUCGGAUCCGCGCCACCGGAGCUCUGCAUGCCCUCGUCAGACCCGACCACAUUUGAGCUGCAACCCACCACGCACGGAGCUGCAACCGUUGAACCUUUUUCCUCCCGGAACGGCACCGCGGCGAUGAUGGCCAUGGGCAGGCGUGGGAGCUCGGCGGAGCAGCAGCAAGUAGCUAUGAAAAUGGUUGUAGCAAAUUCCAACACCGUUUGUAGCAAAACCAACUAUGGCUGCAGCAAAACGACAUCAUCGCCAUCGCGGGAUUCACAGCUAAGACAAUUAGUUUGAAGCUUUUUUCAAUGUCGGUUGUAGCUUUUGUAACCGCCUGUUGUAGCUUUUCAUUUGUCGUCCAUGGCUUACGGCUCCACGGUUGAAGCUUUUUUCAUCGUCGGAUGAAGCUUUUUCAUCGCCGGUUGUAGCUUUUCUUUGGUCGUUCAUAGUUUUUCGUCAUACGAGUUGAAACUUUUUUCAUAGCCGGUUGAAGCUUUUUUCGUCGUCGGAUGAAGCUUUUUUCAUCGCCGUUGUUGUUGGAAAUAUGCCCUAGAGGCAAUAAUAAAAUGGUUAUUAUUAUAUUUCUUUGUUCAUGAUAAUUGUCUGUUAUUCAUGCUAUAAUUUUAUUAUCCGGAAAUCAUAAUACACUUGUGAAUACAUAAACCACAACAUGUCCCUAGUGAGCCUCUAGUUGACUAGCUUGUUGAUCAACAAAUAGUCAUGGUUUCCUGACUAUGGACAUUGGAUGUCAUUGAUAACGGGAUCACAUCAUUAGGAGAAUGAUGUGAUGGACAAGACCCAAUCCUAAGCAUAGCUCAAAGAUCGUGUAGUUCGUUCAGCUAGAGAUUUUCCAAAUGUUAAGUAUCAUUUCCUUAUACCAUGAGAUUGUGCAACUCCCGGAUACCGUAGGAGUGCUUUGGGUGUACCAAACAUCACAACGUAACUGGGUGACUAUAAAGGUGCACUACGGGUAUCUCCGAAAGUGUCUGUUGGGUUGGCACGAAUCGAGACUGGGAUUUGUCACUUCGUAUGACGGAGAGGUAUCUCUGGGCCCACUCGGUAAUGCAUCAUCAUAAUGAGCUCAAUGUGACCAAGUGUCUGGUCACGGGAUCAUGCAUUACGGUACGAGUAAAGUGACUUGCCGGUAACGAGAUUAAACGAGGUAUUGGGAUACCGACGAUCGAGUCUCGGGCAAGUAACGUACCGAUUGACAAAGGGAAUUGAAUACAAGGUUGAUUGAAUCGUCGACAUCGUGGUUCAUCCAAUGAGAUCAUUGAGGAGCAUGUGGGAGCCAACAUGGGUAUGCAGAUCCCGUUGUUGGUUAUUGACCGGAGAGGCGUCUCAGUCAUGUCUGCAUGUCUCCCGAACCCAUAGGGUCUACACACUUAAGGUUCCAUGACGCUAGGGUUGUAGAGAUAUGAGUAUGCAGUAAAGUGAAAGUUGUUCGGAGUCCUGGAUGAGAUCCCGGAUGUCACGAGGAGUUCCGGAAUGGUCCGGAGGUAAAGAAUUGUAUAUAGGAAGUCAGGUUUCGGCCAUCAAGAAAGUUUCAGGAUACCGGGACCACCGGAAGGGUCAGGAGGGGGGGGUCCACCGGGUGGGGCCACCUAUCCCGGAGGGCCCCAUGGGCUCAAGUGGGAGGGGAACCAGCCCCUGGUGGGCUGCUGCGCCCCCCUUGGCCCCCCUGCGCCUAGGGUUGGGAAACCCUAGGGGUGGGGGCGCCUCCACCUGGCUUGGGGGGCAAGCCACCCCCCUGGCCGCCGCCCCCUUGGAGAUCCCAUCUCCUAGGGACGGCGCCCCCCUAGGGGCCCUAUAUAAAGAGGGGGGGGGGAGGGAGGGCAGCCGCACCCAUGCUCUUGGAGCCUCCCUCUUCCCUUGCUACACCUCUCCCUCUGGCAGACGCUUGGCGAAGCCCUGCCGAGAUCGCUGCUGCAUCCACCACCACGCCGUCGUGCUGCUGGAUCUUCAUCAACCUCUCCUUCCCCCUUGCUUGAUCAAGAAGGAGGAGACGUCUCCCUGACCAUACGUGUGUUGAAUGCGGAGGUGCCGUCCGUUCGGUGCUAGGAUCUCCGGUGAUUUGGAUCACGACGAGUACGACUCCUUAAACCCCGUUCCCUUGAACGCUUCCGCUCGAUCUACAAGUGUAUGUAGGUGCAGUCCUCUCUCUCAUUGCUAUAUGAACUCAUAGAUUGAUCUUGGUGAAACCGUAGGAAAAUUUUUAUUUUCUGCAACGUUCCCCAACAGUGGCAUCAUGAGCUAGGUCUAUGCAUAGUUCUCUUUGCACGAGUAGAACACAAAUCUGUUGUAGGCGUAGAUGUUGUCAACUUUCUUGCCACUACUAGUCUUAUUUUGCUUCAGCGGUAUUGUGGGAUGAAGCGGCCCGGACCGACCUUACACGUACGCUUACGUGAGACAGGUUCCACCGACUGACAUGCACUAGUUGCAUAAGGUGGCUAGCGGGUGUCUGUCUCUCCCACUUUAGUUGGAGCGGAUUCGAUGAAAAGGGUCCUUAUGAAGGGUAAAUAGAAGAUGACAAAUCACAUUGUGGCUUUUACAUAGGUAAGAAAACGUUCUUGCUAGAACCCUAUUGCAGCCACGUAAAACUUGCAACAACAAUUAGAGGACGUCUAACUUGUUUUUGCAGCAUAUGAUUUGUGAUGUGAUAUGGCCAAAAUUUGUGAUGAAUGAUGAAUGAUAUAUAUGUGAUGUAUGAGAUCAUGUUCUUGUAAUAGGAAUCACGACUUGCAUGUCGAUGAGUAUGACAACCGGCAGGAGCCAUAGGAGUUGUCUUAAUUAUUGUAUGACCUACGUGUCAUUGAUUUAAACACCAUGUAAUUACUUUACCUUAUUGCUAAACCAUUAGCCAUAGUAGUAGAAGUAAUAGUUGGCGAGCAACUUCAUGGAGACACGAUGAUGGAGAUCAUGAUGACGAAGAUCAUGGUGUCAUGCCGGUGACAAAGAUGAUCAUGGAGCCCCAAAGAUGGAGACCAAAGGAGCUAUAUGAUAUUGGCCAUAUCAUGUCACUAUUUAAUUGCAUGUGAUGUUUAUUAUGUUUAUGCAUCUUGUUUACUUAGAACGACGGUAGUAAAUAAUAUGAUCCCUCAUAAUAAUUUCAAGAAAGUGUUCCCCCUAACUGUGCACCGUUGCGAAAGUUUGUCGUUUCAAAGCACCACAUGAUGAUCAGGUGUGAUAGAUUCUAACGUUCACAUACAACGGGUGUAAGAUAGAUUUACACAUGCAAAACACUUAGGUUAACUUGACGAGCCUAGCAUGUACAGACAUGGCCUCGGAACACAAGAGACUGAAAGGUCGAACAUGAGUCGUAUGGAAGAUACGAUCAACAUGGAGAUGUUCACCGAUGAUGACUAGUCCGUCUCACGUGAUGAUCAGACACGACCUAGUCGACUCGGAUCAUGUAUCACUUAGAUGACUAGAGGGAUGUCUGAUCUGAGUGGGAGUUCAUUAAAUAAUUUGAUUAGAUGAACUUAAUUAUCAUGAACUUAGUCUAAAAACAUUUGCAAAUAUGUCUUGUAGAUCAAAUGGCCAGCGCUCAUGUCCACCUCAACUUCAACGCGUUCCUAGAGAAAACCAAGCUGAAAGAUGAUGGCAGCAACUAUACGGACUGCGUCCGGAACCUGAGGAUCAUCCUCAUAGCUGCAAAGAAAGAUUAUGUCUUAGAAGCACCGCUAGGUGAAGCUCCCAUCCCAAAGAACCAAGACGUCAUGAACACUUGGAAGUCUCGUGCUGAUGAUUACUCCCUCGUUCAGUGCGGCAUGCUUUACAGCUUAGAACCGGGGCUCCAAAAGCGUUUUGAGCAACACAGAGCAUAUGAGAUGUUCGAAGAGCUGAAAAUGGUUUUCCAAGCUCAUGCUCGGGUCGAGAGAUAUGAAGUCUCCGACAAGUUCUUCAGCUGUAAGAUGGAGGAAAAUAGUUCUGUCAGUGAGCACAUACUCAAAAUGUCUGGGUUGCACAACGGCUUGACUCAGCUGGGAGUUAAUCUCCCGGAUAACGCGGUUAUUGACAGAAUUCUUCAGUCGCUUCCACCGAGCUACAAGAGCUUUGUGAUGAACUUCAAUAUGCAGGGGAUGGAAAAGACCAUUCCUGAAGUAUAUUCAAUGUUGAAAUCAGCAGAGGUAGAGAUCAAAAAGGAACAUCAAGUGUUGAUGGUGAAUAAAACCACUAAGUUCAAGAAAGGCAAGGGUAAGAAGAACUUCAAGAAUGACGGCAAGGAAGUUGCCGCGCCCGGUAAGCCAGCUACUGGGAAGAAGACAAAGAAUGGACCCAAGUCUGAGACUGAGUGCUUUUAUUGCAAAGGGAAGGGUCACUGGAAGCGGAACUGCCCCAAAUACUUAGCGGACAAGAAGGCCGGCAACACUAAAGGUAUAUGUGAUAUACAUGUAAUUGAUAUGUACCUUACCAGUGCUCGUAGUAGCUCCUGGGUAUUUGAUACCGGUGCCGUUGCUCAUAUUUGUAACUCAAAACAGGAGCUGCGGAAUAAGCGGAGACUGGCGAAGGACGAGGUGAUGAUGCGCGUCGGGAAUGGUUCCAGAGUCGAUGUGAUCGCCGUCGGCACGCUACCUCUACAUUUACCUAUGGGAUUAGUUUUAAACCUCAAUAAUUUUUAUUUAGUGCCAGCUUUGAGCAUGAACAUUGUAUCUGGAUCUCGUUUAAUACGAUAUGGCUACUCAUUUAAAUCCAAGAAUAAUGGUUGUUCUAUUUAUAUGAGAGAUAUGUUUUAUGGUCAUGCCCCGAUGGUCAAUGGUUUAUUCUUAAUGAAUCUCGAACGUGAUGUUACACAUAUUCAUAAUGUGAAUACCAAAAGAUGUAAAGUUGAUAACGAAAGUCCCACAUACUUGUGGCACUACCGCCUUGGUCACAUUCGUGUCAAGCGCAUGAAGAAGCUCCAUGCUGAUGGACUUUUAGAGUCUCUCAAUUAUGAAUCAUUUGACACAUUCGAACCAUGCCUCAUGGGCAAAAUGACCAAGACUCCGUUCUCCGGAACAAUGGAGCGAGCAACCAACUUAUUGGAAAUCAUACAUACUGAUGUGUGCGGUCCAAUGAGCGUUGAGGCUCGCGGAGGAUAUCGCUAUGUUCUCACUCUCACUGAUGACUUAAGUAGAUAUGGGUAUGUCUACCUAAUGAAACACAAGUCUGAGACCUUUGAAAAGUUCAAGGAAUUUCAGAAUGAGGUAGAGAAUCAACGUGACCGAAAGAUAAAGUUCUUACGAUCAGAUCGUGGAGGAGAAUAUUAAAGUCACGAAUUUGGUACGCACUUAAGGAAAUGUGGAAUCGUUUUACAACUCACGCCGCCUGGAACACCUCAGCGUAAUGGUGUGUCCGAACGUCGUAAUCGCACUUUAUUGGAUAUGGUGCGAUCUAUGAUGCCUCUUACCGAUUUACCGCUAUCUUUUUGGGGAUACGCUCUAGAGAUAGCUACCUUCACUUUAAAUAGGGCACCGUCUAAAUCCGUUGAGACGACACCGUAUGAAUUAUGGUUUGGGAAGAAACCUAAGCUGUCAUUUCUAAAAGUUUGGGGAUGCGAUGCUUAUGUCAAGAAACUUCAACCUGAAAAGCUCGAACCCAAGUCGGAAAAGUGCAUCUUCAUAGGAUACCCUAAGGAAACCAUUGGGUAUACCUUCUACCUUAGAUCCGAAGGCAAGAUCUUUUUUGCCUAGAACGGGUCCUUUCUGGAGAAAGAGUUUCUCUCGAGAGAAGUAAGUGGGAGGAAUGUGGAACUUGAUGAAGUACUACCUCUUGAACCGGUAAGUAACGCAGCUCAGGAAGAAGUUCCUGUGGUGCCUACACCGACUGGAGAGGAAAUUAAUGACGAUGAUCAAGGUACUUCGGAUCAAGUCGCUACUAAACUUCAUAGGUCCACAAGGACACGUUCCACACCAGAGUGGUAUGGUAACCCUGUCCUGGUAAUCAUGUUGUUAGACAACGGUGAACCUUCGAACUAUGAAGAAGCGAUGGCGGGCCCAGAUUCCAGCAAAUGGCUUGAAGCCAUACAAUCCGACAUAGAAUCCAUGUAUGAAAACAAAGUAUGGACUUUGACAGACUUGCCCGAUGAUCGGCGAGCGAUAGAAAACAAAUGGAUCUUUAAGAAGAAGACGGACGCGGAUGGUAAUGUUACCAUCUAUAAAGCUCGACUUGUCGCUAAGGGUUAUCGACAAGUUCAAGGGGUUGACUACGAUGAGACUUUCUCUCCCGUAGCGAAGCUGAAGUCCGUCCGAAUCAUGUUCGCAAUUGCCGCAUACUAUGAUUAUGAGAUAUGGCAGAUGGGCAUCAAAAUGGCAUUCCUUAACGGUUAUCUUAAGGAAGAACUGUAUAUGAUGCAGCCAGGAGGUUUUGUUGAUCCUAAGAAUGCUAACAAGGUAUGCAAGCUCCAGCGAUCCAUUUAUGGGCUGGUGCAAGCAUCUCGGAGUUGGAACAUUCGCUUUGAUGAGAUGAUCAAAGCGUUUGGGUUUAUGCAGACUUAUGGAGAAGCCUACGUUUACAAGAAAGUGAGUGGGAGCUCUGUAGCAUUUCUCAUAUUAUAUGUAGAUGACAUACUUCUGAUGGGAAAUGAUAUAGAACUUUUGGACAUCAAUAAGGCCUACUUGAAUAAGUGUGUUUCAAUGAAGGACCUUGGAGAAGCUGCUUACAUAUUAGGCAUCAAGAUCUAUAGGGAUAGAUCAAGACGCCUCAUAGGUCUUUCACAAAACACAUACCUUGAUAAGAUAUUGAAGAAGUUCAAUAUGGAUCAGUCCAAGAAAGGGUUCUUGCCUGUAUUGCAAGGUGUGAGAUUGAGCUUGGCUCAAUGCCCGACCACGACAGAAGAUAAAGAAGAGAUGAGUGGCAUCCCCUAUGCCUCAACCAUAGGAUCUAUUAUGUAUGCCAUGCUGUGUACCAGACCGGAUGUAAACCUUGCCGUAAGUUUGGUAGGAAGGUACCAAAGUAAUCCCAGCAAGGAACACUGGACAGCGGUCAAGCAUAUCUUGAAGUACCUGAAAAGGACAAAGGACAUGUUUCUCGUUUAUGGAGGUGACGAAGAGCUCGUCGUAAAGGGUUACGUCGAUGCUAGCUUUGACACAGAUCUGGAUGACUCUAAGUCACAAACCGGAUACGUGUAUAUUUUGAAUGGUGGGGCAGUAAGCUGGUGCAGUUGCAAGCAAAGCGUCGUGGCGGGAUCUACAUGUGAAGCGGAGUACAUGGCAGCCUCGGAGGCAGCGCAUGAAGCAAUAUGGGUGAAGGAGUUCAUCACCGACCUAGGAGUCAUACCCAAUGCGUCGGGGCCGAUCAAACUCUUCUGUGACAACACUGGAGCUAUUGCACUUGCCAAGGAGCCCAGGUUUCACAAGAAGACCAGGCACAUCAAGCGUCGCUUCAACUCCAUUCGUGAAAACGUUCAAGAUGGAGACAUAGAUAUUUGCAAAGUACAUACGGACCUGAAUGUGGCAGAUCCGUUGACUAAACCUCUCCCUAGGGCAAAACAUGAUCAACACCAGAAUUCCAUGGGUGUUCGAUUCAUCACAAUGUAACAAGAUUAUUGAACUCUAGUGCAAGUGGGAGACUGUUGGAAAUAUGCCCUAGAGGCAAUAAUAAAAUGGUUAUUAUUAUAUUUCUUUGUUCAUGAUAAUUGUCUGUUAUUCAUGCUAUAAUUGUAUUAUCCGGAAACCAUAAUACACGUGUGAAUACAUAGACCACAACAUGUCCCUAUUGAGCCUCUAGUUGACUAGCUCGUUGAUCAACAGAUAGUCAUGGUUUCCUGACUAUGGACAUUGGAUGUCAUUGAUAACGGGAUCACAUCAUUAGGAGAAUGAUGUGAUGGACAAGAUCCAAUCCUAAGCAUAGCUCAAUGAUCGUGUAGUUCGUUUAGCUAGAGCUUUUCCAAAUGUCAAGUAUCAUUUCCUUAGACCAUGAGAUUGUGCAACUCCCGGAUACCGUAGGAGUGCUUUGGGUGUACCAAACGUCACAAUGUAACUGGGUGACUAUAAAGGUGCACUACGGGUAUCUUCGAAAGUGUCUGUUGGGUUGGCACGAAUCGAGACUGGGAUUUAUCACUUCAUAUGACGGAGAGGUAUCUCUGGGCCCACUCGGUUAUGCAUCAUCAUAAUGAGCUCAAUGUGACCAAGUGUCUGGUCAUGGGAUCAUGCAUUACGGUAUGAGUAAAGUGACUUACCGGUAACGAGAUUAAACGAGGUAUUGGGAUACCGACGAUCGAGUCUCGGGCAAGUAACGUACUGAUUGACAAAGGGAAUUGAAUACAGGGUUGAUUGAAUCCUCGACAUCGUGGUUCAUCUGAUGAGAUCAUCGAGGAUCAUGUGGGAGCCAACAUGGGUAUCCAGAUCCCUCUGUUGGUUAUUGACCGGAGAGGCGUCUCGGUCAUGUCUGCAUGUCUCCCGAACCCGUAGGGUCUACACACUUAAGGUUCGUGACGCUAGGGUUGUAGAGAUAUGAGUAUGCAGUAAACCGAAAGUCGUUCGGAGUCUCGGAUAAGAUCCCGGACGUCACGAGGAGUUCCGGAAUGGUCCGGAGGUAAAGAAUUAUAUAUAGGAAGUCAGGUUUCGGCCAUCGGAAAAGUUUCGGGGAUCACCCCUAUUGUACCGAGACCACCGGAAGGGUCCCGGGGGGGUCCACCGGGUGGGGCCACCUAUCCCGGAGGGCCCCAUGGGCUGAAGUGGGAGGGGAACCAGCCUCUGGUGGGCUGGUGCGCCCCCCCUUGGGCCCCCCUGUGCGUAGGGUUGGGAAACCAUAGGGGUGGGGGCGCCUCCACCUGGCUUGGGGGCAAGCCACCCCCCUGGCCGCUGCCCCUCCUUGGAGAUCCCAUCUCCUAGGGCCGGCGCCCCCCUAGGGGCCCUAUAUAAAGAGGGGUGGAGGGAGGGCAGCCGCACCCAUGCUCUUGGCGCCUCCCUCUCGCCUUGCUACACAUCUCCCUCUCACAGACGCUUGGCGAAGCCCUGCUGAGAUCGCUGCUGCAUCCACCACCACGCCGUCGUGCUGCUGGAUCUUCAUCAACCUCUCCUUCCCCCUUGCUUGAUCAAGAAGGAGGAGACGUCUCCCUGACCAUACGUGUGUUGAAUGCGGAGGUGCCGUCCGUUCGGUGCUAGGAUCUCCGGUGAUUUGGAUCACGACGAGUACGAUUCCUUCAACCCCGUUCCCUUGAACGCUUCCGCUCGAUCUACAAGGGUAUGUAGAUGCACUCCUCUCUCUCAUUGCUAGAUGAACUCAUAGAUUGAUCUUGGUGAAACCGUAGGAAAUUUUUUAUUUUCUGCAACGUUCCCCAACAGUUGUAGCUUUUCUUUGGUCGUUCAUAGUUUUCCGUCGUACGAGUUGAAAUUUUUUUCAUAGCCAGUUGAAGCUUUUUUCGUUAGCGAUUGUAGCUUUUUCCAUCGUCGGUUGCAGCACUGGACAUCUCCCAUGGCGCUCAAUUUUUUUGUUGCAACCUGGAUAUGAGCACGUGGCGAGCACACCGGUUAGCACGUCGGUGAGCUCCGGUCGUCGCCACCCGAGCUACAACGGUGGCCAUGGAAGCUACAACCGCAUGGUUGGGCUGUUGCAUGGGGCGAAGCCGGUGACGCGGAUGGCUGCCAAGGACUGGGACCGGCGACUAGGGCGGCUGGGAAAGACGGCCGGCGAGGACGAUGACCAGUGACUAGGAGGGCAGGAGAGGGAGGGGCAGCGACAAGGAGGGACGCAUGCGGCCGGCAAGACGGGGUUCACGAGAGGAAGACGACGCUCGUACGUGCUCGCGAGAGUAAGACGAUCACCUGGUUGGAUAAGGAUCCAACGGUUCAGGACGGGCUAAUCUGACGGCUAGGGUGCGACCGGCCAAAACGUUCAGCCGGCGCACCGGCGCCUAGCAUCGCCCUUCAGAGAAACAGGGGUCGAUGUUGCGCACUACUGCAGACAGGGUAAGGCAUUGGUCACGAAAAAUCAUGGCACGCCGGGAAGCCUACCGAGCGUACGUGCGCGCUGCCUAUGACUGUGAGCAAUGAUACUGGGUUUUUUGCGUGGGUCUUGGCUAGGCCCGGCCUGGCCUGAGGUAUGGCCAAGUAUAGGUAUAAUGCUACACCUAGGUGCAUACAGAUACUAAAGUUGGUUGACGAUGUGACUUUCCCUCUCUCUAGGGUUUCUACCUUCUCUCACUGCCAUUGGCGACGUUGAGUAACUUUUGUCCUUCACCGCCGCCCGUCUGACCUCUUCUGCUCAGGCUGACCAUGGGGCAGUCUGAUACUGCUUCCCGGCCUUGGUGGGAGGAUAGACGUGGCGGGUGGUGUUAGGGUUUUGGUGGUGGGUUUCGGCGGAGCCGAAGCAGUGCGAUCGGUUUCGCUCUUCCUAAGAGGGCGGAGCAAGGAACAAUGGCAUCGACCAGCAGCAAGGGGAAGGGAAAGCUCGAGGAUCUGAUGGAGGAACUCGCCCUAAAAUAAGAUGACCUAGAUGAUGUCGUUUUCGAGGAGGAUGAUGCGCCACCGGCGGAGGAUCUUCGGUGGAUGAUCUUGGUUCGUGUCCACAUCGACAAAGACUUCAGCAAUUACUGGUUUUUUCGCAACAUGCGAUCAGCUUGGGAUCUCGCAAGAAGGGUCAAGAUAAAAACCCUAGAGGAGAACUUGUUCAUUAUGCAGUUUGAGUGCCUUGGAUAUUGGGAAAGAGUGGCACAAGGGGGGCCAUGGCACUUUUGGGGUCACCCCAUGAUCAUCGUGCCCUAUGAUGGUUAUUCCAAGCCCUCAUCGAUUGAGUUGUUCACGUUCGAGAUCUGGGCAAGAAUUCUUGAUCUACCAAUCGCUUAUCACGGAAAGGUAAAAGCCUUGGCAGCAAAGAUUAGCGAGUUUGUGGAGUCUGAGCCCUCAUCCUUUGACUUUGAAGGCAAUUUCUAUAGAGUGAGAGUUCGCCUAGAUGUUCAAAAGCAGCCGAAGAAAGCGACUUCUAUAGUCCACAAUGGCCAGCGAGAAAUUUUUGCUGUAAAAUACGAGCGUCUCCCAGAUUGGUGCCAGGUGUGUGGCAUGAUGGGCCACGAAUUCAAGGAACAUGGAGAUGGUGUUCACCCUCCCUCUGCACUUGUGUUUAAGAACCUCAGAGCACCUGUGGCUACGGCAUGGGGCACAAAAUGUCGCAAUAACGGGCAAAGGAAUAGGGGAAAGAACGGAGGAGGCAUCUUAGGACAGAAUAUGCAAGAAGAGGAGAAGGAAUGUGAUGACACUGACAUGGAUGAAAACGACGCAAGUCGCAAGAGGACUUCUGAAGAAGUAGUGGGUGCAAUCGCUCCUGCAGUGGCUAGCACAACUCUGGACAUUGUUCCCGUAGGGACGAACAAUGGGGGUGCUCAGAAUCUACCCAUUAGCCCACCUCCAAAGCAGGAACCUAAGCAUUUGAGACUAUCGCAGCAGACAGAGAAGGGGCAGAACAUGGGUGGAAGGAAGAACACAGUGGCUAUGAAGAUUCUUGAUGCUAAAUCGGCGGCCUCCCCGGUGGAGGACCGCUGGGCACAAUGAGUUUCCUUGGCUGGAACUGCCGGGGACUAGGCAACGCCCCGACAGUUCAAGAGCUACGAGAAAUCGUUAUAAAGUUUGCCCCUAGAGUACUUUGCAUCAUUGAAACACAGAUUGGUCAAGAUAGAGCUGAAAAUUUAUCACGUACUCUAGGUUUUGAUUCUUCUUUUGCAGUUGGUUCCACCGGUAGGAGUGGUGGUUUAGCUUUGUAUUGGAAUAAUGAAAUAAAGCUUGAGAUUUUGGGUUAUUCGCAGUACCAUGUUGAUGCAAAGAUUUCUGACAUGGGACGGGACCCUUGGAGGCUCUCGUGUUUUUAUGGAGAGGCGCAAACACAUCUCCGGUAUAGAACGUGGGACAUAAUGAAAAACCUAGUAGCACUCCAAAACUUGCCGCGGUUGUGCAUUGGGGAUUUCAACGAGGUUCUACGCUAUGAUGAGCACGAAGGAAUUGGUCAGAGAAGUCAAACUCAGAUCCAAGGUUUUCGAGAUGCGGUUGAUGUGUGUGGAUUGAUUGACCUCGGCUUCCAGGGCCGUAAGUGGACGUUCGAAAAGAAGGUGACGGGUGGAUCAUAUACAAGAGUAAGACUUGAUAGGGCUUUGGGCUCGCCCGAGUGGUGCGCUCGGUUUCCGCUAGCAGUGGUUGAUCAUCUUACAGUAGCUACCUCUGACCACUCUCCUAUAAACCUGAUGUUGUUUCCACCGGACAGAGGGAAGAAAGGAGAAAAGCAAUUUAGGUAUGAGUGCAUGUGGGACACGCAUCCGGAGCUAAUCCCCACGGUCCAGCGUGCAUGGGAGUUGAACGGCCCCAAUCUUACGGCGGCAGAAGUCCGAGCUAACCUACAAUCCUUGUCUAAUAACUUGGGCGAGUGGAGCAAGUCAACUUUUGGGAGUGUUAAAUCACAAAUAAGAAGGCUGAAAAGAGAUCUGGAGCGUCUGAGGAGUGACCCAGCAAUGACUGCUCCGGGCCAUGUUGAGAUCAAAAUAAAUGAUAGAUUGAUUGAGCUAUAUCUUCAGGAAGAAAUAAUGUGGCGCCAGAGAUCACGAGUAGCAUGGCUUUCAGAGGGGGAUAGGAAUACACACUUUUUCCAUUUCAGAGCUUCAAGUAGAUGGCGCAAGAACUUAAUAAAGUCUUUACAGAAGCAAGAUGGGCAACUCACGGAUGAUUUGACAGAGAUGCAGCAGAUGGCACUUGACUUUUAUAAAGCCCUAUACACUUCAGAGGGGGUUGAAGGUUUUUUUUUGACUAUGUACUGCAAGGAAACAGCCGCACAGUCCUUUAUUAAUUAAAAGAAGAUAAGUUACAACUUUAUAAAUGUACAAAGAAAGCGAAAAGAUACUUACAAAAGAAAGACUAAGUAAGGUUAGCUAUCCAAGCUAGAAAACUAUCUUUAAAUUUAGAUCUAAUCCUGUGAGACAGAAGAGAGAUGUCAUGUAUAAAGUUUCUUCUCCAAGCUCUAAAUGAAGGUUGUUCAUUUCUGAAGAUUUUCUCAUUCCUUUGUAUCCAAAUAUUCCAAGUAGCAGUGAAAACAACCUCAGAGAAGAAAGGGUGACCAAAAUCCUUCCUAGCUGCUUGUGCCAUAUCAUAUGUGGUUUGGUUCGGUUGAAAAGUCCAAGAAAUCCCAAGAUAGUUCCAAACCCUUUGGCUAAAAUUGCAAGCAAAGAAAAGGUGAGCUCGAUCCUCAUGUUGUGCAAGAUUGCAUAGAACACAAGUAUCAUCCUGGAUGAUCCAUUGCCUAUGUUGCAUCAUAUCCCUGGUGUUCAAACGAUCCAUUAGCAGGAGCCAACCAAAAACUUUGAUCUUUAGCGUGCAUGCACACUUCCAAAUCCACUUGAGUAUGGGAUCCACCACCAGGUGUGAGAAGCAAGAAUCAUAGUAUAUCUUUGCCAUAUAGGCGCCAGACUUUGAAGGCCACAUCCAAGUGUCCUUACUCUCACCAUUCAAAUUGAUCAAAGGUAGAAGGGACUGUAAUUGUGUGAAUUCUGAGAAGGCCUCCUGUGAUAGUGGUAAAUGGAAAUGAUCCAAGAUAUCAGGCCGCUCAAUAAAGUCUUUAACUGUGAUUGCAUCAUCCACAACAAAAGAAUGGAGCCUCGGAAAACAGUCGUGUAACAAGACAACAUGAUUUCCCAGCUGCCAACGGUCGAGCCAAAAGAGUAUCGUGUCACCAGCAUGAACUUGUGGAACCGCCAGAUUGCAAAAUUUUGGGUAUAAACGCAUGGUAUCACGCCACCAAAAUGAACCACAGACCUUGGUGCUUUGGGGUGGUGACGAUGCGUAAUAGGUGUCCCAGAUUAAAGAUACCCAAGGCAUGUCCACUUUAUUGAAAAACUUGAAGAGAUGCUUAAGUAGCAAAGCCUCAUUUUGGGUGGCCAAAUUAAGAACACCCAAACCUCCAAAGCACUUAGGGCGACAGACUAAAUCCCAAGCAGCCAGAGAUUGUCGUGGGUUAUCGGUGUUACCUCUCCACAAGCACUGCCUCAUGAUCCGCUCCAACUGUUGUAUAAUGCCCUUUAGGAGAUAUAAAGUGCACAAAAAAUAUAUAGGCAUGGAGCACAACACCGACUGAAGAAGUUGCAGUCGGCUCCCUUGGUUUAGUAAGCAUGAAGAGGCAGAUAAAUGGCGCUCAAUACGAUCCACCAGAGGCAUCAGAUCAUAGAUGGUCGGCCUAGAAGUUCCCAUUGGCAAACCAAGAUACGUGAAAGGCAUCGUGCCAACGUCGCAUCCCAACAAAGAGGCCACUCUGACACCUUCCUCAUCAUACAUGUUUAUACGAAUGAGUGAAGACUUACUAAAAUUAACUCGCAAACCAGUUGACUCAGCAAAAGUGACAAGCAUCUCCUUGAAAGCAACAAGCUGUUCAUCAAUGGCAGGCAGCACAAUUAAUGUGUCGUCGGCAUAUUGCACUAUUGGGUAAUCAUUGGAGUUUGUUGGGAUUGGCAGAGAAAGGAUAUUCCUGGAGCACAUCUCAUUGACUACAGAUUGUAAUAAAUCUACUGUAAUCACAAAUACAAUGGUGAUAGGGGGUCUCCUUGACGCACUCCAGUUCUGCAGACAAAAUGUUUCCCUGGCACACCGUUAAGAAGCACAGAAGAGGAUUCCGUUGACAAAAUACUAUUGAUCCAACCAGUCCACCUGGAAUCAAAUCCCUUGCAUUGCAAAAUUUUGAGAAUUAGAUCAUGCUCAAUUGUAUCAAAGGCCUUCGUAAAAUCCAUCUUGAGGAGGACAAUGGGGCGCUUGGAGGCCUUGCAUUGGUGUAUAUACUCGAAACACCAGGCUAAGCAAUCUUGGAUAGAACGACACCGAAGAAAACCAUAUUCAUUGCGGUGGAUGCAUCACAGAAUCACAUUCUGGAGCCGGUUAGCAAGCAGCUUUGUCAAAAAUUUCAAGCACGUGUUGGUCAAUGAGAUUGGCCUAAAAUCUCCGACAACUUCAGGACUUAGCUUCUUAGGUAUCAGAGUAAUUAAUGAGGUAUUAAGACAUUCUAAGUUGCACCUCCCCUCAUAAAACUCCUUGACAAGUUGCAUGAAAUCCUCCUUUAGAAUUAGCCGACACCUCUUUAAGAACAGACCAGAAAAGCCAUCGGGACUAGGGGCACGGUCUGGUGGCAUGUUCUUAAUGACAACAUCAACCUCAGAAUCAGUGAAAGGCUGGGACAGAUCUUCAAGGCCAUCAACUCUUGCAAUUAAUGUGUCCAAAUCAAAACCCAUGCGAAUUCCUUUUGCAUUGCCCAUUCUUUGAUUAAAAUCCGACCAAAACAUGCUCGCAAGUUGUUGGUGAUCCGAGACCACAUCACCAUCAGAAUUCUUGAGAGAAGAAAUUGUGUUUCUCCUAUACCUUUCCGUGGCCAUGGCAUGGAAAAACUUCGAGUUUUCCUCUCCAACUUUAAUGCUGCAUAUAGUACAACGCUGCUUCCAAUAUACAUACUGCGAAUGUAAAAUAUCUUCCAAAUGCAAUUUCACAAUUCGCCUGAAUAUAAACUCAGGCCUUGACAAAGGCCUAAUCUCCUCCAGCCCAUCAAAGAAUAGGAUCACCUUGUUGCAAUCAGAAAUUAAUGCUGUAAGUGUGGACAAAUUCAUGUGCCAUUUCUUGAGUGCAUACCUUAGCGCUUUGAAUUUCGAGGAAAUAUUUAGGGUAGCCGAUUGUCUGGCCACUGAUUUGCUCCAAACUUGUGCUACAAGGUCAUAAAAUCCAGGCAAAUCAAUCCAAUAAUUUUCAAAGCGAAAGAUUUUAGCCUUAGGAAUCGCAGUAGCAAUCGAGACGAUGCAUGAAACAUGAUCAGAGGCUGUUCGUGCAAGUGGCAGAACUAGCGUGUUAGGAUGAUCCGUGGUUGAUACGUCUCCAACGUAUCUAUAAUUUUUGAUUGCUCCAUGCUACUUUAUCUACUGUUUUAGGCCAUAUUGGGCUUUAUUAUCCACUUUUAUAUUAUUUUUGGGACUAACCUAUUAACCGGAGGCCCAGCCCAGAAUUGCUGUUUUAUGCCUAUUUCAGUGUUUCGGGGAAAAGGAAUAUCAGACGGAGUCAAAACGGAACGAAAUCAACUGGAGAAGUUAAUUUUGGAAGGAAACCUACCGGAUGGACUUGGACCCCAUGUCAGGAGCCAAGGGAGGUGCUCACGAGGGUGGGGGGCGCCGCCCUGGGCGCGCCCCUGCCUCGUGGGACCCCCAUAGCUCCACCGACGUACUUCCUGCACCCAUAUAUACCUACGUACCCAAAAACUUCCAGAACAGAACCUAGAUCGGGAGUUCCGCCGCCGCAAGCCUCUGUAGCCACCAAAAACCAAUCAAGACCCUGUUCCGGCACCCUGCCGGAGGGGGAUCCCAUCACCGGAGGCCAUCUUCAUCAUCCCGGUGCUAUCCAUGAUGAGAAGGGAGUAGUUCACCCUCGGGGCUGAGGGUAUGUACCAGUAGCUAUGUGUUUGAUCUCUCUCUCUCUCUCUCUCUCUCUCUCGUGUUCUCUCUCGUGUUCCUCUAUGGCACGAUCUUGAUGUAUCCCGAGCUUUGCUAUUGUAGUUGGAUCUUAUGAUGUUUCUCCCCCUCUACUCUCUUGUGAUGAAUUGAGUUUCCCCUUUUGAAGUUAUCCUGUUGGAUUGAGUCUUUUAUGAGAACACUUGAUGUAUGUCUUGCCGUGAUUAUCUGUGGUGACAAUGGGAUAUCAUGUGCCACUUGAUGUAUGUUUUGGUGAUCAACUUGCGGGUUCCGCCCAUGAACCUAUGCAUAGGGGUUGGCACACGUUCUUGACUCUCCGGUAGUAGCUUUGGGGCACUCUUUGAAGUACUUUUAUGUUGGUUGGAUGAAUCUGAGAUUAUGUGACGCAUAUCGUAUAAUCAUGCCCAAGGAUACUUGAGGUGACAAUGGAGUAUCUAGGUGACAUUAGGGUUUUGGUUGAUUUGUGUGUUAAGGUGUUAUUCUAGUAUGAACUCUAUGAUGGAUUGAGCGGAAAGAAUAGCUUUAUGUUAUUUUACUACGAACUCUUGAAUAGAUAGAACAGAAACGAUAACUUUGAGGUGGUUUCAUACCCUACCAUAAUCUCUAAGUUUUUUCUCUGCUAUUAGUGUCUUUGGAGUGACUCUUUGUUGCAUGUUGAGGGCUUGUUAUUUGAUCUAUCUAUGUUAUUAUUGUUGAGAGAACUUGCACUAGUGAAAGUAUGAACCCUAGGCCUUGUUUCCUAUCAUUGCAAUACCGUUUACGCUCACUUUUAUCACUCGCUACCUUGCUGUUUUUAUAAUUUCAGAUUACAAUUACCUUUAUCUACUAUCUAUUUUGCACUUGUAUCUUCAUCUCUUCGCCGAACUAGUGCACCUAUACAAUUUACCAUUGUAUUGGGUGUGUUGGGGACACAAGAGACUCUUUGUUAUUUGGUUGCAGGGUUGUUUGAGAGAGACCAUCUUCAUCCUACGCCUCCUACGGAUUGAUAAACCUUAGGUCAUCCACUUGAGGGAAAUUUGCUACUGUCCUACAAACCUGUGCACUUGCAGGCCCAACAACGUCUACAAGAAGAAGGUUGUGUAGUAGACAUCAAGCAGUUUCUGGCGCUGUUGCCGGGGAGGUGAGUGCUUGAAGGUAUAUCUUUAGAUCUUGCAAUCGAAUCUUUUUGUUUCUUGUUUUAGCACUAGUCUAGUUUAUAAAAGAAAAUUACAAAAAAAUGGAGUUAAGUUGGCCGCAUACGCUUCACCUUUUUAAUAUCUUUCGUGAGUAUGAUGGAAAAGAAAAUUGUGCUCAAGUGCUAGAAGAAGAAUUACAUAGAAUUCUUGGCAUAAAAUAUGUGAAUGAUGAGCAUGAUUGCAAUGUCGUUAGUACGAAUUCUUUGAAUAUCCAUGAUGCUAAUGAUAUGCAAAGCCACAAGCUUGGGGAAGCUAUGUUUGAUGGAGAUGAUAUUUUUUGUCCCCCAAGCUUUGAUGAGCAAAUUUACUAUGAUGAAGGCAUGCCUCCUAACUAUGAUGAUUAUUGUGAUGACACGUAUGCUUUAAAGAAUAAUGAUAAUCAUGAAACGUGUCAUCUUGAUCUUAAUUUUCAAUCACAUGAUAGUUAUUUUGUUGAGUUUGCUCCCACUACUAUUCAUGAGAAGAAAUUUGCUUAUAUUGAGAAUAGUAAAUUUUCUAUGCUAGUAGAUCAUGAAAAGAAUGCUUUAGGUGCUGGUUAUAUUUUUGAAUUCAUUCAUGAUGUUACUGAAAAUUAUUAUGAGGGAGGAAUAUAUGCUUGUAGGAAUUGCAAUAAUAUCAAGUUUCCUCUCUAUGUGCUUAAAUUCUUGAAGCUAUGCUUGUGCUACCUUCCUAUGCUAGGUGAUUAUUGUUCCCAUAAGUUGUUUGCUCACAAAAUCCCUAUGCAUAGGAAGUGGUUUAGGCUUAAAUGUGCUAGUCAUAUGCUUCAUGAUGCUCCCGUUAUGUUUCAAUUCUUAUCUUUUAUGUGAGCAUCAUUGCCAUCAUCAUGCCUAGCUAGAAAGGCAUUAAAGAAAAGCGCUUGUUGGGAGACAACCCAAUAUUUAUCCUUACUGUUUUUGUGUGUACACAUGAUUAUUCUACUGUAUUAAUCAUGUUUUAUAGCUUAUGUUUCAAUAAAUUGCCAAGUAGAACCUUUGGGAAGACUUUGGUGAAGUUUAUAUGAUCUUGCUGUAGAAAACAGAAACUUUUGCGCUCACGAGAAUGGCUGCCAUGUUUUACUGAAGAGUGAUUUUAGAUUGAUUCUUUUUUCAGAUGAUUAAUAGACAAAUUUCGCAAGUCCAGCAAUUUAUUUCAUAAUUUUUGGGGUUCAGAAGUAUACGUUUGAUACAGAUUACUACAGACUGUUCUGUUUUUGACAGAUUCUGUUUUCUAUGUGUUGUUUGCUUAUUUUGAUGCAUCUAUGGCUAGUAUUAAGUGGUAUGAACCAUAUAUAAGUUAGAAUACAGUACAUAUUACACCAAUAUGAAUUUAUAAUGAGUUCAUUACAGUAUCUAAGUGGUGGUUUUAUUUUCUUAUACUAACGGAGCUUACGAGUUUUGUUUUGAGUUUUGUGUGGUUGAAGUUUUCAAGUUUUGGGUAAAGAUUCGAUGGACUAUGGAAUAAGGAGUGGAAAGAGCCUAAUCUUGGGGAUGCCCAAGGCACCGCAAGGUAAUAUUCAAGGACAACCAAGAGCCUAAGCUUGGGGAUGCCCCGGAAGGCAUCCCCUCUUUCGUCUUCGUUCAUCGGUAACUUUACUUGGAGCUAUAUUUUUAUUCGCCACAUGAUAUGUGUUUUGUUUGGAGCGUCAUUUUAAUUUGUUAGUUUUUUCUUACUGUUAGUUAGAAUAAUGUUUUGCAUCUUUAGUUUCAAUAAAAAAGGUCAAGGAUAGACUUUGCCAUGCUUAUUUUGCUAGUUUGCAUGUUGCUGUUUGAAAACAGAAAGUUUACCGCUGUUGCAAAAAUUCCCUAGAAAAGUCAGAGAAUGGUAUAAUGUUGAAUCUUUUUGCAUAUUGAGCUCUGAUAAAUUUAUUACAGUGGGAAUUUUAGUUCAUAAUUUUUGGAGUCAGGGAAGUAUUGUUUCUCUUGAAUUCUUUACAGACUGUACUGUUUUGGCAGAUUACUGUUAUGGUUGCAUUGUUUGCAUAUGUUUGCUUGUUUAAUGAUUCUAUUUGAGGAUAGAAGUAUUAAUUAUGCAGAGACAUUUAGUAUUAAAUGUUGAAUAAUAAUGUUAGUGAUUUGUUACAGUAGAAGAUGAUAAGGUUUUUGCAUUGGCUUAUACUAACCUAUCUCGGGAGUUCUUGUUGAGUUUGUUGUGAAUGAAGCUUUUGAUAAAAAAAGAAACCAUGAUAUGAGAGGAAUUAAGGAGACACAAAAGCUCAAGCUUGGGGAUGCCCAAGGCACCCCAAGAUAAUAUUUCAAGAAGUCUCAAGAAUCUAAGCUUGGGGAUGCCCCGGUAGGCAUCCCACCUUUCUUCUUCAACAACUAUCGGUUAGUAUCAGUUGAGCCUAAGUUUUUGCUUCUUCACAUGAGUUGUGCUAUCCUUGCAUUAUAGUUUUCUUUAGCUUUGCUUGCUGUUUGAAUACAAUACCAAGAUCUGAAAUUCUUUUAUGAGAGAGAGCCUUACACCAAUUGGAAUUUGCUAGAAUACUCUAUGUGCUUCACUUAUAUCUUUUGAGCUUGAUAAUUUUUGCUCUAGUGCUUCACUUAUAUCUUUUAGAGCACGGUGGUGGAUUUGUUUUAAAGAAACUAUUGAUCUCUCAUGCUUCACUUAGAUUAUUUUGAGAGUCGUUAAUAGCAUGGUAAUUUGCUUAAAGAUAAUAUACUUGGUAUUCAAGAUAUGUGAAACUUUCUUUUGAGUGCGUUGAAUACUAAGAUAAGUUUGAUGCUUGAUAAUUGUUUUGAGAUAUGGAGGUGAUAAUAUCAAAGCAAUGCUAGUUGGGGUGAUCAUGAAUUUAAAGAGUGCUUGUGUUGAAGUUUGUGAUUCCCAUAGCAUGCACGUAUGGUGAAUUGCUUGUGAUGAAGUCAGAGCACAAUUUUAUUUAUUGAUUGUCUUCCUUAUGAGUGGCAGUCGGGGGCGAGCGAUGGUCUUUUCCUACCAAUCUAUCCCCCUAGGAGUAUGUGUUUAAUGCUUUGGUUUUUAACGACUUCUAAAUUUUUGCAAUAAGUGCAUGAGUUCUUUUGAUUAAUGUUGAGUCCAUGGAUUAUACGCACUCUCUCACCCUUCCACCAUUGCUAGCCCCUCUAAUACAGCGCACUUUUUGCCGGUAUCAUACACCCACCAUAUACCUUCCUCAAAACAGCCACCACACCUACCUAUCAUGGCAUUUUCAUAGCCAUUCCGAGAUAUAUUGCCAUGCAACUCUCCACCGUUCCGCUCAUAUGACACACAUUACUUUUGUCAUACUGCUUUUUGCAUGAACAUGUAGUUGACAUUGUAUUUGUGGCAAAUCCACCGUUCAUAAUUCUUUCAUACAUGUCACUCUUGAUUCAUUGCAUAUCCUGGUACACCGCCGGAGGCUUUCAUAUAGAGUCAUAUUUUGUUCUAAGUAUCGAGUUGUAAUUUUUGAGUUGUAAGAAAAAUAAAAGUGUGAUGAUCAUCAUUAUUAGAGCAUUGUCCCAGUGAGGAAAAGAAUGAUGGAGACUAUGAUUCCCUCAUAAGUCGGGAUGAGACUCCGGACUUUAUGAAAAAUAAAAGAGGCCAAAGAAGCCCAAAUACAAAAAAAAGGAGUGGCCAUAACAAAAAGAAAAAAAGAGAGGAGAAAGGCCAAAUAAAAAAAUGAGAGAAAAAGAGAGAAGGGACAAUGCUACUAUCCUUUUUCCACACUUGUGCUUCAAAGUAGCACCAUGAUCUUCAUGAUAGAGAGUCUCAUAUGUUGUCACUUUCAUAUACUAGUGGGAAUUUUUCAUUAUAGAACUUGGCUUGUAUAUUCCAAUGAUGGGCUUCCUCAAAAGUGCCCUAGGUCUUCGUGAGCAAGCAAGUUGGAUGCACACCCACUUAGUUUCUUUUGUUGAGAUUUCAUAUACUUAUAGCUCUAGUGCAUCCGUUGCAUGGCAAUCCCUACUCACUCACAUUGAUAUCUAUUGAUGGGCAUCUCCAUAGCCCGUUGAUACGCCUAGUUGAUGUGAGACUAUAUUCUCCUUUUUGUCUUCUCCACAACCACCAUUCUAUUCCACCUAUAGUGCUAUGUCCAUGGCUCACGCUCAUGUAUUGCAUGAAAGUUGAAAAAGUUUGAGAUUUCUAAAGUAUGAAACAAUUGCUUGGCUCGUCAUCGGGGUUGUGCAUGAUUAAAUACUUUGUGUGAUGAAGAUAGAGCAUAGCCAGACUAUAUGAUUUUGUAGGGAUAACUUUCUUUAACCAUGCUAUUUUGAGAAGACAGGAUUGCUUUGAUUAGUAUACUUGAAGUAUUAUUACUUUUAUGUCAAUAUGAACUUUUGUCUUGAAUCUUUUGGAUCUGAAUAUUCAUGCCACAAUUAAGAAGAUAUACAUUGAAAUUAUGCCAAAGUAUCACUCCGCAUCAAAAAUUCUUUUUUAUCAUUUACCUACUCGAGGACGAGAAGGAAUUAAGCUUGGGGAUGCUUGAUACGUCUCCAACGUAUCUAUAAUUUUUGAUUGCUCCAUGCUACUUUAUCUACUGUUUUAGGCCAUAUUGGGCUUUAUUAUCCACUUUUAUAUUAUUUUUGGGACUAACCUAUUAACCGGAGGCCCAGCCCAGAUUUGCUGUUUUAUGCCUAUUUCAGUGUUUCGAGGAAAAGGAAUAUCAGACGGAGUCAAAACGGAACGAAAUCAACUGGAGAAGUUAAUUUUGGAAGGAAACCUACCAGAUGGACUUGGACCCCAUGUCAGGAGCCAAGGGAGGUGCUCACGAGGGUGGGGGGUGCGCCCCCUGGGCGCGCCCCCCUAGGCGCGCCCCCUGCCUCGUGGGACCCCCGUAGCUCCACUGACGUACUUCCUGCACCCAUAUAUACCUACAUACCCAAAAACUUCCAGAACAGAACCUAGAUCGGGAGUUCCGCUGCCGCAAGCCUCUGUAGCCACCAAAAACUAAUCGGGACCCUGUUCCGGCACCCUGCCGGAGGGGGAUCCCAUCACCGGAGGCCAUCUUCAUCAUCCCGGCGCUAUCCAUGACGAGGAGGGAGUAGUUCACCCUCGGGGCUGAGGGUAUGUACCAGUAGCUAUGUGUUUGAUCUCUCUCUCUCUCUCUCUCUCUCUCUCUCUCUCGUGUUCUCUCUCGUGUUCCUCUAUGGCACAAUCUUGAUGUAUCCCGAGCUUUGCUAUUGUAGUUGGAUCUUACGAUGUUUCUCCCCCUCUACACUCUUUUGAUGAAUUGAGUUUCCCCUUUUGAAGUUAUCCUAUUGGAUUGAGUCUUUUAUGAGAACACUUUAUGUAUGUCUUGCUGUGAUUAUCUGUGGUGACAAUGGGAUAUCAUGUGCCACUUGAUGUAUGUUUUGGUGAUCAACUUGCGGGUUCCGCCCAUGAACCUAUGCAUAGGGGUUGGCACACGUUCUUGACUCUCCGGUAGUAGCUUUGGGGCACUCUUUGAAGUACUUUUAUGUUGGUUGGAUGAAUCUGAGAUUAUGUGACGCAUAUCGUAUAAUCAUGCCCAAGGAUACUUGAGGUGACAAUGGAGUAUCUAGGUGACAUUAGGGUUUUGGUUGAUUUGUGUCUUAAGGUGUUAUUCUAGUAUGAACUCUAUGAUGGAUUGAGCGGAAAGAAUAGCUUUAUGUUAUUGUACUACGAACUCUUGAAUAGAUAGAACAGAAAGGAUAACUUUGAGGUGGUUUCGUACCCUACCAUAAUCUCUAAGUUUUUUCUCCACUAUUAGUGUCUUUGGAGUGACUCUUUGUUGCAUGUUGAGGGCUUGUUAUUUGAUCUAUCUAUGUUAUUAUUGUUGAGAGAACUUGCACUAGUGAAAGUAUGAACCCUAAGCCUUGUUUCCUAUCAUUGCAAUACCGUUUACGCUCACUUUUAUCGCUCGCUACCUUGCUGUUUUUAUAAUUUCAGAUUACAAUUACCUUUAUCUACUAUCUAUUUUGCACUUGUAUCUUCAUCUCUUCGCCGAACUAGUGCACCUAUACAAUUUACCAUUGUAUUGGGUGUGUUGGGGACACAAGAGACUCUUUGUUAUUUGGUUGCAGGGUUGUUUGAGAGAGACCAUCUUCAUCCUACGCCUCCUACGGAUUGAUAAACCUUAGGUCAUCCACUUGAGGGAAAUUUGCUACUGUCCUACAAACCUGUGCACUUGCAGGCCCAACAACGUCUACAAGAAGAAAGUUGUGUAGUAGACAUCAGUGGUCCAUGCAACUGAAGUAAAAAACCAAUCGAUCUGUUCAAGUAAAGGAUUAGUUUGCAUAUUCGACCAGGUAAAUUGCGGUCCUUUAAUUGGUAGCUCAACGAGACCCAGGUGUCCAAUCACUUCAUUAAACAGAAAGAUAUCGCUGACAUUACCCCCAGGUAGGUUUCGGUUUUCCAACGACCGCAUGAAAUUGAAAUCACCCAACAACAGCCAAUUAUCAUCACAGUUAAUAUCAAGAUUAUAUAACCAUUGCACGAAAUCAUCCCGAGCCGGGCCCUGGCACGGACCAUAAACUGACACGAGAGUCCAAACUUCAGAGGUAUGUUUACAUUGGAAUUCCAUAAUGAUACCAAAAUGCCUUGCCUCAAUUAAUUUCCCUUCAAAGAAGGAAGAACUCCAAAUGAUGAUCAUACCGGCCGAGGCACCCAUAGAAGGCACAUAGGAAAAAUUAUCAAAACGCCAUGGGCAGAAUUUCCUAAUGAACUAUGAUCAAUAUGCAUGCACUUCGUUUCUUGCAGACAGACAACCGAACAACCACUUUCAUCAAUUUUUGCUUAACCGCUAAUUGCCGUGCUUCAGAAUUAAGACCACGCACGUUCCAACACAACACCUUCCAAUCUCUAAAUCAUGUUUGAUUCAUUACAAACCAAAAUAAAAAGCAGCAGCAAAAGUAGAUCAUGUAAUGUCCUACACUGACCCACUAAACAUGAGGGAUAUAGUCCAAACAGAAAACAAAAGAACAGAUAGAUGGCGUUUAAAUAGGUACGCCAUAAACCAUAAAGCCGUCCAGUGCAACUAAACAUCAGAAUCCUUGCUGCUGGUGGAGGUAGAAGGAGCAGCCUCAAGCUUGUCCUUGGAGAUCUUCUUUGGAGCAAUGCACAGACGUGCUCCAAUACGCUGAAGCUCAGAAACUGGCGUUGGUGGAGGCACUGACUUAUUCUCCUCCAGCUGAGCUGAGCUAGUUCGAUGCUUCUUGAAAGAACACUGAGUCUUGCCCUGCUUGUGGCCUCUGUUUGGAAAUUUAUGAUAGCCAUCCCGUAAUGCACUUAGGCGUGCACUGCGGCGCACCUCAGAGUCAAUCACCACCUUAGCAGAUUUUGGCUUCCGGCCACAUUUGGUAUUAACUUCAGGUAUUGCAGAGAAUUCAAAUGACUCACUGACAGGUUCAGAGAGAACAUCAAAGCAUAACACCCGAGCAACAGGCCUUUUAACUGGAGCAACCUGGCGUGGAAAGCAGGGUGUUGGUUCUGGUGCAGGCAGCAAAGAAAAGCUGACAUCAUUCCCAUUGAAGCAGAUGUCCCAAGAGCUCUUGGACAGCAGAGAACCAAGAUUAGUCAUGAACACACACUUUGGAAUAUCAGCAGAGAAAAUAGCUGGCAAAAACUUGCUGAAAGUGCGCUGCCACUGCAUCUCUGGUGGUAGAACAGGGCCAAAAAUAGUGAUGACUUGACCAACAUGGAGAGGCGGCUACAUCAGGACAACAGGUUGCUGCAAUAUCACUAAGUCCUCAACUGGCUGAGCAUUAACAGAAUCAUCCGACACUUGAAGAAUGAUAGAUUCCCGGGACUGAUUCGCAUCAACCUGGUUUUCUCCACAAUCUCCUGCUGCAUAUUCAGAUUAUCUUGAUGGGCCUCCUGGUGUUGUGGCUCAUUCUCCUACGGAGGAGGUGGCAGUUCAUCCCAACCGAUCUCAGGAAAUUCAGGCAUAACCCAAUUGUGGUUAUUAAACUGCAGAUGCCCAGGGAGUGGGUGAGGGUUGCCAUCGAAGGGCAUCGGAUCCUCGUCCGGCGGCAAGAUAUCAGCAAAAUCAGUAGAGAAGAUGUAUAUCAGAGCAGACCAAGAAAUACGCGAACCUCCAAAAUCGGCAAACUCCCGAUAGACCACAUCACGCGGCAAUAAUGUCAUUGCCGGAAAAGAAACGUACACCAGGGUACGAACAAGCAGUGGGUCAUCCUGAUGCCAGUGAUGGAAACGGCCAAAGGUACUGAUUGCAUCAGCAAUAUACUGCGUACGCCCAUAAUCCAAGGGAAUUCCAACAAUCAUAACCCAACCCCUACGAAAACCCUGGAUAGCUCUGAAAUUGAUUCCUUCAUCAUGCGGCAUGAAUCUGACAAAUUUAUCAAUAUCCAGCUCAAACGGGGGGUGAUCUACCAGAGCCUACCUAGCAACAGGACUACAGAAACGGAACAGCCCCACUCCUUGGAUCCAGGGCUGAGCAUCAAGAACAACACGGCCAAGAGUGUUAACAAUAAAAUCACUGACCACAUUUCUGAAGAUAGCAACUUCUUCAGGCAGGGGAGCUGGUUCGACGAUGGCAAUGACGUAUUCCUCAUGCUGACGAUCCGGAGCCACAGCAGGAGAGUAGAAGGUGCGUGGAAGCCGCCGCGGAUCACCAUCGAUGAUCUCGAACCCCGGCGGGAUGAGAGGCAUGGGGUCGAGGGCGAAGGUAGCCAUAGCUGGGUGCGGCGAAGAAGAUGGCAGUGUCGGAGCUGCGUCGGAUAAUGACGAGGCUAAGCAGGUCGAUGGUGGCGAUGUAGGUGGUGGUGGUGUGAUGGGUGGUGGCUCGGCAGGCAAUGGCGGAGGCGAUGAUGGUGUUGCAGGCGCGAUGGGACUUGGCAGAGACCCAGCUUGGCUAUCAGCGAGGGAAACCGAGGCGUCAAGCGAGGAAAUCUCAGCUGACCGGUCCGGGGAAGUAGGAUUGACCCUCGGGACCCACUUGUAAGUCGGGGAAUGCGCAGCGUUGGAGCAUCCUCUUGCAUGGUGGCCCAGGCGAAAGCAUCUACGGCAUCGAAUUGGAUUGGUGCACGAAUUGGUGUAGUGUAGCAUCGAUAAACAAUUCUGACAUUUCCAAACCUUGAACACAACAUCAUCAAUAAGAUCAUUAAAUUGAGCAGCCUCCUCGGUAAUAUCCGAAAGAUGGUCAUCCAUAACAGUCGUAGGAGAAAUUCCAACUGUGGCAACGGAAAAAUCCAAAAGAUCCUUAGACGGUUGGGCCAAAAUAGGCUGGGCCGUGACAGAUUCGACCAAGGCUGCAGACCCAUUGUGGGCAAUGGAGCCAUGAUGGGCUAGGGGCCCAAACUGAGCCAUGCAUCCAUGUUGGGCUGGAGAGUCCGGUGCAACACAAUCACGUGUGAUGGAACCAUGUGGUGCAUGCUCAAUUCGAAUCAACUGGGUGGGUGCAGAUCCGGAACUAACGGCGGUGUUCCUGGCAGGGACGUUGAUCGUCCCGAAAGAGAUGGAUGGCGUCACCACCGUCCACUGGAGAUCAGUCGCCGGUGGUGAGGGCAAGAUCACUUUUUCACGUGGAUGCACGACGUAGCCGGCCUCCGAAAUCGUAUCAACACAUGACUGAGAAGCAUGGUAUCUAUAACCCUUGCAUGCAGUAUAUUGCUGGAACAUGGCAAAAGAAAGCUUCUUCCUCGAAGAUGAACUCGAUCUAAAAGAAGAUUUAGCCGGGGGUUUAUGCAUGGCUAGCAACCCCAAAGUGACAUGCUUCUUAGAAGGACUCACUAGGAUCCACUCAGCGUCGCACUCUUUUUCCAGAUCUUAAAUUCACGGAUCCAAUUAGGGCCACCAUUCCCCCAAAGAUGAAAAUAGCAUUUGAAUUGUGGACACGCAAACAAUCUCAACUGGAGAAUGCAGAGGCCAACUUGCUUGCAAGAGACAAAAAAGGAGAAUACCUUGUCUCAGAUGAUUUGGACCGAAAAUUCAAUCGCCGAACCCCCAAUCGCUGAUUCCAAGGCAGCCGGCACAGAAUCAUCAUUAAGACGGAAUAUAUGUCUGCUGAAAGACACCACCAUAAUGAAAUGGCCCGUGUCAUCCGUGGAAUGAAUAGAUCUUCCGCAAUGAUUGAAAACCUUGUCCGCAAAGAUGGGGCCCGCCGAGAAAUCCAAGUCCAACGUUGAUCCACCAGAAGAACCCAUAUGAAAUGGGUAUAGCCAUGCAGAUCAGGAGCCGCCGGAGCAGAUGGGCGGAGGGGAAUCACAAAUCACUGGCUAGAAGAGUAGAUCGCCGGAAAACCUAGGCCGGAGGUGGGAGGAGUGGGUGGGUGGGUGGAGAGCCAUUUUGACGAACACUAAAAGGGGGGUUGAAGGUUUAGAGGAUGUCCUCCAACACGUCCCCUCCAAGGUGACAGCAACGAUGAACGAAUCCCUGACAGCACCGUACAAGGAGGAAGAAGUCGAGAAGGCACUUUUCCAGAUGUACCCGACCAAGGCCCCGGGGCCGGACGGGUUCCCAGCGCACUUCUUCCAGAGGCAUUGCGAUAUUUGUGGUGUGGCGGUCACACGUGUUGUCCUCAGUAUAGUUCGUGGAGAAGAAAGCCCGGAGUGCGUGAAUGACACCGUUUUUGUAUUAAUCCCUAAGGUAUCAAAACCAACUCUGUUAUCCCAAUUUCGACCAAUUAGUUUAUGCAAUGUCUUCUACAAGAUAGCUUCAAAGGUUCUAGCUAAUCGGUUGAAGGUAAUACUCCCCGAAGUUAUUUCUGAAGAGCAGUCAGCCUUCGUGCCUGGAAGGCUUAUAACUAAUAACAUAAUCUCGGCGUAUGAGUGUUUGCACUUUAUGAAGAGGAACAAGUCAAAAAAUAACAACUAUUGUGCUCUAAAGCUCGACAUGAUGAAGGCAUAUGAUCGAGUGGAGUGGAACUAUUUGGAAGCUAUCAUGAGGAAACUAGGUUUUGCAGCAUCAUGGGUCUCUACGGUCAUGAACAUGGUGAGAACAGUUUCUUUUUCAGUAAUGUUUAAUGAGUGCAAAUCAGAAGAAUUUUCACCUUCCAGAGGUAUUCGUCAGGGAGACCCCAUCUCUCCAUACCUUUUCUUGUUGGCAGCAGAGGGCCUCUCGUGCAUGUUAAAAUCUCAGAAUGGAUCAUCCAGCUCAGCGGCAUUAAGGUGGCCCCAUCGGCUCCGUCGGUGAACCACCUUUUAUUCGCGGAUGAUAGCCUGCUGUUUUUCAAGGCGAGUGUUGAUGGAGCAGAAGAAGUGUCACACCUUUUGGAUACUUAUUGCAGGGCAUCGGGCCAGCGGAUUAACAAGGAGAAAUCAUCUAUUUUCUUUAGCAAAGGAUGCCCACAGGUAGUGAGAGAUGCAGUGAAGGGGUGUCUCCAAGUUCCUAAUGAGUCCCUAAGUGAUAGAUACCUUGGUAUGCCCACAUAUGUGGGACACUAAAAAAAGGGCACCUUCAAACACUUAAGCGAGCGGGUGUGGGAUAAGGUGAAAGGAUGGAUGGGCAAGUGUUUGUCCAUAGGUGGAAAGGAGGUACUAAUCAAGUCGGUUGCACAAGCUAUCCCUGUAUAUUCCAUGUCAUGUUUCAAGCUUCCGAGAGGUCUAUGUGAUCAUAUAAAUUCCAUCAUACGAAAGUUCUGGUGGGGCUGCAAGGAGGGACAACGGAAACCGGCUUGGGUAUGUUGGGAGGUAAUGGCGAGGCCAAAGUAUUUGGGAGGACUGGAUUUCAGAGACCUAGAGCUCUUUAAUCCAGCUUUGUUAGCUAGACAGGCGUGGAGAGUGCUGCAAGAUCCAUCAAGGCUAAGUGCAAGGAUUCUUAAGGCUUCAUAUUUUCCGAACUCGGAGUUCCUCAUGGCAGAAUUGAGCUCUCGCCCAUCACAAAUCUGGCGUGCUAUCUUAGAGGGCCGAGAUAUUCUUAAGCAAGGUAUAAUCCGGAGGAUCGGUAAUGGCCAGACAACGAAUAUUUGGGAUCACAACUGGAUUCCCAAGGAGGGAUCACUGAGGCCAAUUGUUUCUUUGAUUCAAGACCCGCCACAGCUUGUUUCAGAGUUACUACUACCGGCAGUGGGGUCAUGGAACGAAACCCUAGUUCGAACAUGUUUUUUGCCAACGGAUGCAGAGGCGAUUCUGCGUAUCCCUGUGUGCACAAGCAACAUAGAGGAUUUUUGGGCAUGGCACCCGGAGAAGAAGGGUUUAUUUACGGUAAGCUCGGCUUACAAGUUUAUGAUAAAAACGAAAAUCACCCGAGAAAAUUGGCUCGAGGGCAGGAGCGGGCCAUCGAGCAGUGACAGAGAUGAGCGUGACUGGUCAUCACUUUGGUCUCUCACGGUUCCAUCAAAAGUUAGAGUUUUUCUGUGGCGCUUAGCUCGCCACUCUCUCCCAACUACGGAUGUUUUGAACAAGAGGAAUAUGGCAACACGCGAUGCUUGUCCAUUGUGCGGAGCCCCUGACUCAUGGCGUCAUGCGUUGGUGUCAUGUACGGCGGCCCGCUGUACCUGGGCGCUAUCUGACCCGACCAUGGUGGCACAUAUGGCGGCUAACAAGGAGACAAGCGCAAAAAACUGGUUGUUCAAGACGCAUGAUGACCUUGAUCAGAAGUCCUUUACUUUGAUGGUUGUGACGCUAUGGGCAAUAUGGUAUGCCAGAAGGAAGGCGAUUCACGAAGGAGUUUUUCAAUCCCCGAUGCACACUUCAUCGUUUGUAACUUCGUACAUUAACGAACUGCAGCAGUUGGAGAAGCCUGUCGAGCGACGAACACAGACAGCGGUAUCGCGAGGCGUGGAGAGGAGCUGGUUACCGUCACCAAUGGGCGUCGUGAAGAUCAAUGUUGACGGUGCUGUUGGGCGCCAUAGACGCGGCGGGGCUGUCUCAGCGGUGUGUCGAGAUCACACGGGUUUAUAUUUGGGCUCUUCGGCGGCCGUCUACCGUGGCAUAACUGACCCAACAAUCCUGGAGACGUUUGCUUGCAGGGAGGCUCUAGCUCUUGCUGAGGAUCUUCAGGUGACAAAGAUGAGGAUUGCAUCAGACUGCAAAGGGGUGGUCCAAGACAUAAACGACGGAACAGGAGGCCCGCAUUCAGCUAUAGUACAUGAAAUAACGCAACGGAGUAAUUUCUUUGAUUCGGUUCUUUUUGCUUUUGAGCGUAGAAACCACAAUUUCGAAGCUCACAAUCUCGCCAAGUUCGCAUGUAAUUUAGGGGUAGGUCGCCAUGUUUGGCUGGGAGUCCCCCAUGACCAACACCGUGUACCUAUGAACAUUGCUAUUAUUUAAUAAAGUGGCGGGAUUUCUCAAAAAAAAAAACCUAGGUGCGUACAGUUUUUUUAGACAAACCUACGUGCAGUUUGUACGUAAUUUAUGUUACGGGCUGAUGUGGAGUAACGUAAUUGGGCCGAGAUUAGUUGCUGGGGCCCACCCCAGUUGAAUUCAGGGGGCAGAAGAGAGUUUAUGGCAGGCUUCGUAGGUUGUUCCUAGGUGUAUAGUGCGCGUUGUACUCACGUACAGGUUUUAUAAGAUUUUUUUUGCCCCCGCCCACCCGCCUGCCGCUACUGCUGCUCUGGGCGCUCGCGACGGCGACGGCGAUGGAGUCCCUGAGUGUGCUGCUGCUGCACCCCGUGAAUGCCUACCUGGAGCAGGAGCUCGACCGCCGCUUCCGCCUCAUCCGUCUUUGGGACUCCCCUCCCGACGGCCGCGCCGAGUUCCUCCGCGCCAACGCGUCCGCCAUCCGCGCCGUCGUUGCCUACCCCGGCUACAGCGCCCUCGCCGCGCUCAUCGACGCGCUGCCGUCGCUCGAGAUCGUGGCGUCCUUCUCCGUCGGGAUCGACCACGUCGACCUCCCCAAGUGCCGCGAGCGCGGGAUCCGCGUCACCAACACCCCCGACGUCCUCACCGACGACGUCGCCGAUCUCGCCGUCGGCCUCGCCAUCGCCGCGCUACGGAGGAUCCCGCAGGCCGACCGCUUCGUGCGCGCCGGCCUAUGGAAGGCCAAGGGAGACUACGCACUCACCACGCGAGUUGGUUUCCUAACUCCUAUAUGCUUGGCUAGCGUUGACUUCCGUUUGUAGUACUCCUACAAUAAGCCAGUGCGUAGGAAUUAAACUGUUUUUAGCCAGUCCAAUAAGCCAGUGCCACUUUUAUAAGUCGUUUUAGACAUCUGAAAUUAAACUGUUUUGCACACUGUCUUAAAUCUCUACAGCGGCUUAUAAAAGUGAACAGAGGAAGUACCAUUUUGCAGUCCAAUAAGCCAGUGCCUUCUAAGUGAUUUUGAUUAUAUACCAUAGCUCAUAUAUGGCGAUGUGGUUCGUAUUUUCCCUCCUACAAUAUCAACCUCAGACUACUAGGCUAGGGAAUUGCCGGCUCUUUUUUGGAUAUUGUGCUGUGUGUCACUUGGAAUCGUGGUAAUACUAAGGCUGAUGGAUGAUCAGAAAAGCAUGAAAAUCACGAUUUUGUUCCCCCUGACCAUAGCUUCGUAGUAGCAUAAAUAGGAAAUAAAUUGCAACGCAUUUUGUCAUGCUUUCCAUUUCAUUUAUGGCCAGGCCUACAGUUUGUGCAUUGAAAGACUUUCUUAUGAGCAGAAUCCCGUUAGAAUUGAUGCAGGGACCAGAGGAUAGCACUUGUACAUUGUGAAAAAUGGUCAGGGGCACCUAUAUGAAGGAUAGAAUGUACUCCCUCUGUAAACUAAUAUAAGCUCCUGAUCUAGUGUUGGGCUAUCAUUGUGUUUUGGUGCCUGUCAUUUUCUCCCUAGGCCUGUUUUUGUGGUUCUUUGUCGAUGGUGGUAGGAGUUGCUUUGCGGGGCUCGCUCUGGAGGUGUCGGCUUCCGGGGGCUUCGGUUUAGUCUCUGUAACCAGCCUUCUCUCCCGUUUCUUUCUUUCUUUCUUCUAGUGUUGGGCUAUCCUCUUGGGUGCCUUCCUUUGUAAUUUUCUUUUGUGCCUCGUGUGCGCUUUAUGUACUUGUGCUGACUGCUAAGUCCCCUUCGAGUUGGAAUAUAACAAGCGGUGGGGGNNNNNNNNNNNNNNNNNNNNNNNNNNNNNNNNNNNNNNNNNNNNNNNNNNNNNNNNNNNNNNNNNNNNNNNNNNNNNNNNNNNNNNNNNNNNNNNNNNNNNNNNNNNNNNNNNNNNNNNNNNNNNNNNNNNNNNNNNNNNNNNNNNNNNNNNNNNNNNNNNNNNNNNNNNNNNNNNNNNNNNNNNNNNNNNNNNNNNNNNNNNNNNNNNNNNNNNNNNAAUCUCGAAAAAAAAAGAUCUUGAUCUAAAAGAUCUUAUAUUAGUUUACAGCAAGUUGAUCUGGUGCUUAUUAUAAUGAUGAGUUAUCAUCAGCAUAAAAGCAUGGAGUAGUUGAGGAUGCUGGUUUACCAUUCCAUGCAAUCCUAGGAUCAGAUUUGAUCUCCUCAAAGAAAAGAAACAAUCACUCAUUAUUGGUUGCUCAAUCAGUUAGCAGUAAGAAAAGGAGGUAAGGCAUUUGGUUGCUCAAUCAGUUAUUAUUCAGAAUCACAUAAGCCAUUUUCCAAACUACAAGUUCUUCACAAAUGUUGACCUGGCAGGCAACUGUUAUGCGCUUAUUGUAGCAUUUUCCCUUAAUGCAGAGGCCAAUUUCAUUGUUAGUUGUACAAUCAUGGAUGGAGUAGGACCAGUAGGUGUGCUCAUAGACAUUGGUCAUGGAGCACAUGCGGAUCAAUCUGAGUUUGUAUCUGCUAAUACCGAGAAGCCCUUUGCCCCAGAGCAACUUGGUUUAGAUAAUGUUGUUUUGGCCCCUCAGUAGGAAGUGACACGGAAGAAACAUGCAUGGCAAUGGUUGAUCUGUCUUGAAAGAAUUUAGAAGCACAUGCUUUGAGCUGUCUAUUUACAGGGAUAUGUGCAUCUGUCUGUGUGGUCAAGGUGUGCAAUCUCAGCAUUUCGUUUUGGAUGCUUUCAUUCUUAUCUUCGUGUAAAGUGAUUUCCUUGUUUACGCAAAUAUAGCAUGAUUUGUGAUUUCAUUUUCUCAUGGAUUUUGUUUAUCCUUUUGCAGUUCAGUGGCAAAAGAGUGGGCAUUAUUGGGCUGGGCAGAAUAGGGCUUGCUAUUGCCACUCGAGUGGAGGCCUUUCAUUGCCCAGUUAACUACUACCAGAGAACAAAGAAGGACUACCCCAAUUACACCUAUUACCCUUCUGUAGUUGAAUUGGCAGCAAACAGCGACAUCCUCGUGGUGGCUUGCCUAUUGAGUGAACUGACCCGCCACAUUGUCAACCGUGAGGUGAUGGAGGCACUUGGACCCAAGGGCGUGCUCAUAAACAUCGGGCGCGGCCCUCAUGUUGACGAGCCUGAGCUUGUCUCUGCGCUCGUUGAGGGGCGCCUUGGCGGGGCAGGCCUCGAUGUGUUUGAAGAUGAGCCCGAUGUGCCUGAGUCGCUCUUCACGCUUGACAAUGUUGUCCUGGUACCACACAUGGGGAGCGGGACACACGAGACGCGCAAGGCGAUGGCGGACCUGGUUCUCGGUAACCUGGAGGCGCAUGUUCUGAAGAAACCGCUGCUGACUCCUGUUAUCUGAUACGAUGAUCUCUUAUAGGAAGCACGAACAGGCAUUAUAAUGUGUUUUAUAUGCAUUUGUGUGCUAAUAUGUCAUCAGGUUUGGUCGUACCAUUUGGAGUUGUUGUCUCAAGGAAUGUUCUAUGUGGAUGGCCUCAAAAAUAAUCUCUCUCUUUGUAAGCCCGUUUGUUUGGCUUUAUCAAUAAUUAAUAAUAUAUGGUUGUAUGCAUCAAUCGACGGAGAGUCCGAGGUUCUUUCCCUUUUUCGAUUUUAUUUUGAAGAAGCACGAUAAGAUGUUUUCCCUUUCAAUAUCCCUUUGACAUAUGUAGGUUCUUAUCGGUAAGCAGUUUGUGAGACCUAUUGAUAAGUUUGACUUCUUUUGGGAUCGUCUCAUAUCCGGUUUUCGUGAUUUAUGUUUUGUCGACGCAAAUGUCAUGCUAUGUAAUAUGCCUGUUUUUCUUGGUUGAGUAAGUGUUGCUAUUGAGUAUGGAUGGUUUGGUAGCUUGCAAGCUUUUUGCGUUUUUCGGUAGCUUGGCUGAGUUGGGCCUGGCUAUGCAUAUUGUGCAUAUAGUUUGGUAGCCUGCAUGCCCCUCAGCCUAACUCCUGGAUGCAACGUUCUGCUAUUUCAUUACGUUCACACUGAUGAUUAAUCUCACUUUUUAUCCAAAUGGUAAACUUACCUCACGUAGAAACGGGUGCUAAAGGAAGAAGAGAAAGGCCGGCUCGAGCUAGAAAAAGGUAUGGCAUCCUUCCGAUGCUCAUCCAACGGGAUGACUCAAGGUAGAAGGAGUGGCAGCCCUUGGAUGCUCAUUCAAUGGUCACGAAAUCGGAUGGGCGCGAAUAAUUUUUUUACGUGACUGAUGCCCAAGUGUGAUACGUUUGUACAAUCAGUAGGAAAAUGUAUAUCUACUCGUCUACGACCAUCAAAAUAGAAAACAUAACACAAAAGCUGUGUGAAAACAUAACAAUAAAGAAAUUUCAAACGGUCGACCGGGUGCGAAGAUUUUCUCAAAAUUCAUCGUUUCAUAACAUGGGCACAUGAACAUGUUUGUGUGGUCCAAUAAGAGAUGAAGAUCUACUCGCCUAUGAUCGUCAAAAUAAAAAACGCCCAAUGUCGUGGUUCUAAGCCUGACAGUAGAGUGGGGGGUAGGUAUGAAGAGGCAAGGUCCUAGCUAUGGAGAGGUUGUAAACACAAGGGAUGUACGAGUUCAGGCCCUUCUCGGAAGAAGUAAUAGCCCUACGUCUCGGAGCCCGGAGGCGGUCGAGUGGAUUAUGAGUAUAUGAGUUACAAGGUGCCGAACCCUUCUACCUGUGGAGGGGGGUGGCUUAUAUAGAGUGCACCAGGACCCCAGCCAGCCCACGUAGGAGAGGGUUUAAGGUGAGUUAAGUCUGGGGCGUUAUUGGUAACGCCCCACAUAAAGUGUCUUUACUAUAAUAAAGCCUACUUUAUUACAGGCCGUUGCAGUGCAGAGUGCCUCUUGACCUCCUGGUGGUCGAGUGAGUCUUCGUGGUCGAGUCCUUCAACGCAGUCGAGUGAGUCCUUCGUUGGUCGACUGGAAGGCGACCUCUUCUAAGGGUGUCCUUGGGUAAGGUACUUAGAUCAGGUCCAUGACCCUACCCUAGGUACAUGACCCCAUCACCCAACACAAAAGUCAUGGAUACGGCGAAAAGAAGCUAGUGGUCGACUCGGUAUGAAGAUUUUGAUGAAAUUCGUCUAAAAAGCCUCCAAACAUUAGCAUGAAAUUGAGACUCAUAGUCCAUACAAUUAGAAACCGACUGUUUGAAUGAAAUAUUUGCAUCUUUUUCAUGUAGACGUUAUUUCGAGUCAAAUCACCAUUGUGUGAUCAUAUGAAGUGGAUCAAAGAGGGUGAGUGCAAGAUAACAUGUGCAAACCUCACCUACAUGCCCGCACCACCAGAGCCACCACUUAUGCUCAAAUUGCAUAGCUCGCGCUUUGCUUUGAAAAAAUGGCCGAUUCGAGUGUUCUUGCGAAGCCAAGCCUGGAGAUGAUUUAUGCACCUUGCUAUGCAGGUUCAAUAGUGUUUCCACACAACAAACAGCCCCAAGUCGCCAAAAGUCACAUUCAGCAAGGCUGAUUGAAUUUGAUUCAAGCUAUCAAGCACGUCAUAUAUGGGCAUUGGCGAUGGAACAACACACCUAGGGGGGCACGUGAAUGAAUGCCCCUUCUAUCAGAAAUUAUGAAAUCCAUUUCACACUUAGGCCUUGUUCGGUUGAGGUGGAUUCCGAAGGGGAUUGGCAGGGAUUGAGGGGGGUUAAACCCUCUACAAGUCAAAAUCCUCUCCAAUCCUCUUCAAUCCCCUUGGGAGGAGGAUUAAACGAACAAGGCCUUAGGGAGAUAGUUGAUCAAUGUCCAUUUUCACACUUAGGCAGGAUAGUAGACCAAUGCACUCGAGCCGCUCCCCUCACCCGUCUCACUCCAUGGUUGUUGCCGGCCCAACCUCCUUGUCCUCCUUUUUCCUCUCUCCCAUGCUCCUCCUCUAGCCUCCAGCUCCAUAACUAACCAGCACCACCAUCUCCAGCCUCCCGAUCUAGCAGAACUGGUAGCCCAAGCUCAUGCGUGGGAUCAUGGUGGGGUGGCACAGGCGAACGUGGCUUCAGGAGAUGGCCGGCAUCGGUGAUGCCCCUUGAGAUCCGGUUUGAAUAGCAGAAGGUUCCCGUACCUUUUCCCCAAGGAGAGACACUGGGUAUCAAACCCAAUAGAGGAUGUGCACCAUGACAAAGAGGCAAACAAGUGAUUUCUAUUGAAUUAAAUUCUAGUUUUUUAAUCGGACCUUUCUCACAACUUUUUUGGAUGUAAACACUGAUGUGAAAAUAGGCAUGAGUAUGUGGUCUUACUCUCACAACCAUACACCCCCUCUGUCUCAAAAUGUAAAAGGAUAUUUUACACUAUCAUGGUGCCAAAAAUCCUCUUACAUUUUGGGACAAAGAGUGUACUUAUCUGUGGGAUCUCACCUUACUAAUAAACAUAGCCCUGAAACACAACUGCUAUGAUGUGCUUGCUACAUGAUGAAGUCGGGGAUGUGUCCAAAAUACGUCUUGACUGGUCACAACCUGCAUCAAGAGUUAGUUGUUCAACUGAUACAUUCAUUUUGCAUCAUGUUUUCUACUAUUAUUUAUAUAGUUUUGGGUCAAUAUUUCACUUCAUGAGGUAAUUCUAAUGUCUUUUCUCUCUUAUUAUGCAAGAUUUAUAUGAAGAGGAAAAUUGCCGGCAACUGUAAUUCUGGACCUGAAAAGAGCUACAACAAAGAUAGCUAUUCUCCGAAGCUCCAAAUGACCUGAAAAUUUACGAAGAUUCAUUUGGAACUAAUAAAAAAAUACUGGAAGAAGAAUCAACAGGAGGGCCCCACUAGUGAGUCACAAGCUCAGGUGGCGCCCCCUGGGGCAUGCCACGUAAGCUUGUGGGGCCACCAGCAGGCCUUUGUGACCGUCAUUCUCCUAUAUGAUGCCAUUUUCACUAGAAAAAUAAAUAAAGAGAAGACUUUCGGGAUGAAGCACCGCCGUCUCGAGGCGGAACCUGGAUAGGAGUAUUUUUGCUCUCUGGCGGAGCGAUUUGCUGGGGAUACUUCCCCUUAGGGAGGGGGAAAUCGAAGCCAUCGACAUCACCAACAAUCCUCUCAUCAUAGGAGGACUAAUCAUCAUCAACAUAUUCACCAACAACAUCUCCUCUCAAACCCUAGCUCAUCUCUUGUAUUCAAUCUUUGUCUGAAAACCUCAGAUUGGUACUUGUGGGUUGCUAGUAGUGUUGAUUGCAGGUUGUAGUCGAUGCUAGUUUGUUUAUUUGGUGGAAGAUUAUAUGUCCAGAUCCUUAAUCUACAAUACUCCUCUGAUCUUGAACAUGAAUAUGAUUUGUGAGUAGGUCCGUUUGUUCUUGAGGACAUGAGAGAAGUCUUGUUAUAAGUAAUUAUGUGAAGUUGGUACUCGUUCAAUAUUUUGAUGAUGUGUAUGUUGUUCUUCCUCUAGUGGCGUCGUGUGAACGUCGACUACAUGACUCUUCACCAUGUUUGGGCCUAUGGGAAGGCAUUGGGGGGUAAUAGGUAGAUGAUGGGUUGCGAGAGUGAUAGAGCUUAAACCCUAGUUUAUGAGUUAUUCCAUAAGGGGCUAAUUUGGAUCCAUAUGUUUCAUGAUAUGGUUAGGUUUAUCUUAAUUCUUCUUUUGUAGUUACAUAUGCUUGUGAGAGGGGGUAAUCAUAAGUGGGUUGCUUGUUCAAGUAUGAACAUCAAUGCUACUUGUGAGCUGCGUUGGGAUUUCCCCAAAGAAGAGAGGAUACUGUAGUACAAUAGAGAUAAGUAUUUCCCUCAAUUAAGAACCAAGGUUAUCAAUCCAGUAGGAGAACCACACGAAACCUCGUUAGCAGCACCUACACACACAAAGGCAAAUACUUGCACCCAACGCAAACAAGGGGGUUGUCAAUCCCCUCGACGGUUAAUUGCAAGGAUCAAAUUUGGUAGUGAUAGAUAGAUAGAUUAAAACACAAAAUAAAAUAACACUAAAUAAAUUGAAGCAAGGUAUUUUUGGAUUUUAUAUAUGAUAAAAGUAGACCUCGGGGCCAUAGUUUUUACUAGAGGCUUCUCUCUCGGACAAAAAGCAUACAAUGGGAAAACAAAUUAUUGUUGGGCAAUUAAUAGAAAAGUGCAUAGUUAUGACGAUAUGCAAGGUAAUGAUCAUGUAUAUAGGCAUCACGUCCGAGACAAGUAGACCAACUCCUGCCUGCAUUUACUACUAUUACUCCACCCAUCGACCGCUAUCUAGCAUGAAUCUAGAGUAUUAAGUUAAUAAAUAUGGAGUAAUGCCUUAAGCAAGAUGACAUGAUGUAGAGAAAGUAAAUCCAACCAAUAUGAAUAAACCUCGUCGCUUUCCCCUGAAUGGUAACAAUACAAAUAUGUGUCUUGUCCCCUUCCACAAUAUUGAACCCAUUACAAAGCACAUCUCCCAUUACAAGAUAAAUCAAUCUAGUUGGCUAAACCAAAUGGAUAGAUCAGAGAGAAAUACAAAGCUAUAACAAUCAUGCAUAAAAGAGUUCAGAGAAGACUCAAAUAAUAUUUAUGAAUAAUCUGAUCAUAAAACCACAAUUCAUCAGAUCCCACAAACACACCAUAAAAGAAGAUUACAUCAGAUAGAACUCCAAGGACAUCGAGGAGAACAUUGUAUUGAAGAUCAAAGAGAGAGAAGAAGCCAUCUAGCUACUAGAUAUGGACCUGUAGGUCUGUGGUAAACUACUCACACUUCAUCGGAAGGGCAGCAAGGUUGAUGUAGAUGCCCUCCAUGAUUGAUUCUCCCUAGGGCAGAGUGCCAGAAAAGUCCUUCGGAUGGGAUCGCGGAAGAACAGAGGCUUGCAACUGUGGAAAAAGUUUUUUGGGUGGCUCCCUGUAGGUUUCCCGAUUUUAGAGAAUUUAUAGAGGUGGAAUUAGGUCAGACGGAGCCACGAGGGGCCCACAAUGCACUAGGGCGUGGCCACCCCCCCUGGGCGUGCCCUACUACCUUGUCGUAUCCUUGUUUGCCUUCUUGCCCCCCUGAAGCUUCUAGGGUCUCUCCUGUCUAGAAAAAAUCGUCAAAAAGUUUCAUAGCAUUUGGAGCCCGUUUGGUACUGUAUAUUUGGAAAACCAAAAUAGGUAAAAAACAGCAAUUGGCACUGGGUUAAUAGGUUAGUCCCAGAAAUGAUAUAUAAUUGCAUAUAAAACAUCCAAGAUUGAUACUAUAAUAGCAUGGAACAAUAAAAAACUAUAGAUACGUUGGAGACAUAUCAGCAUCCCUAAGGUUAACUCCUGCUCGUCCCCGGGUAGGUAAAUGAUAAAAACAUAAUUUUUGAUGCGGGAUGCUGCCUAACAUGUAUAUCAUGUAAUCUCUUUUAGGUAUGAAUAUUAAGAUAUGAAUCAUUCAAAGCAAUAGUCUAUAAUUUGAUAUAAAGACAUCAAUACUCAGGCAUACUAAAAAACAAUCAUGCCUUUCAGAAUAAAAAUGCUAAAGAAAGCUAUCCCUACAAAAACAUAUAGUCUUGUCAUGCUCCAUCUUCUUAACACAAAGUAUUUAUCAUGCACAACCCCGAUGACAAGACGAGCAAUUGGUACAUAAUUUUUAAUGUGCUUAAGCUUUUUCAGCCCCCACGCAUUACAUGAGAGCAAGCCAUGGAUAUAGCACUAUGGGUGGAAUAUAAUGCGGUGUUAGAGAUUGUGAUAAGGGGAAGUUAAAAAGGAAGAUAGUCUCACAUCGACGAGGCUAAUCAAUGGGCUAUGGAAAUGCCCAUCAAUUGAUGUCAAUGAAAGGAGUGGGAUUUCCAUGCAACAGAUGCACUAAGAGCUAUAAGUGUAUGAAAGAUCAAAAUAAAAACUAAGUGGGUUGCAUCCAACUUUCUUGCUCAUGAAGACCUCGACCAUUUCAGGAAGCCCAUCAUCGGAAUAUACAAGCCAAGUUCUAUAAUGAAAAUUCCCACUAGUAUAUGAAAAUUAAAGCAUAGGAGACUCUCUAUAUGAAAAACAUGGUGCUUCUUUGAAGCACAUGUGUGGGAAAGGAUAGUAACAGUGCCCCUUCUCUCUUGUCUCUCAUUAUUUUUAUUUUUUUGUGGGCUCUUCUGCCCUCUUUUUUAUUGGCUCUCUUGGCCUCUUUUUUUAUUUCCUCACUGGGACAAUGCUCUAAUAAUGAAUAAUGAUUAUAUCACACUUCUAUUUACUUACAACUCAAAAUUACAAACAUAAUACUAGAACAAAAUAUGACUCUAUAUGAAUGCCUCUGGCAGUGUACCAGGAUGCGAAAUUAUCUAGCGUAACAUGUAUUAAUAAGUGAUGAACGGUGGUUGAGCGACAAAUACUAUGCCAGCUAUAUGAUCAUGCAAAGCAAUAUGAAAAUGAUGACGUGUGUCAUAAAAACGAAACGGUGGAAGUUGCAUGGCAAUAUAUCGCGGAAUGGCUAUGAAAAUGACAUAAUAGGUAGGUAUGGUGGUUGUUUUGAGGAAGAUAUACGGAGGAUUAUGUGUGAUAGAGCAUAUCAUAUCUGACUACUUUUUAUGUUUUCAUGAAUCUCAGAUUCUGAAGAGCAUCAUAAUGAUUAUGAUCUUGCGUGCAUGAAAAGAAUAAAGCAGAACAAUGCCAUGGCUGUCAAACUUGGCAUUAAGGGACUGAGACCAAGUCUGGAUGCAAUGCAAUGCAAACGCUCUCCACCUACAGAUUCAUGCUCAGAAUAUGACCCUAAUAGUGAUUCUAAGCUAGAGAGAGACCUAAGUCAAUGUAGCUCCCUAGUGGAGGAGUCAGAGGCAGAUGCCCUAUCUUAUUCACCCAUCAAGGUGCUUGCUCUAACUUUCCAAGGUUAUAUUGGUCGCACAUAUCUUGCAACUGAUGCUUUGCAUUGCUUCUACUUUGUUGCACUGCCAUUAGCUUAGUUUACACAUCGUGUAUGUGAAUACGCCAUGCCUAUCCAUUUUCAGUACAUAUUCCAUUUGUCAUCAUACCAUAUUUAUCCAUUCAAAUGUUGUUCUUGUGUAUCAACGUUCAAAAGGAAGAGGGCGAUUGCUGAUCGCGAAGGAGCACAAGAAAAGUAUUUGGAGAAGGUAGUGGCACCUGAUAAAUCAAAUAGCCCAUUAGGUGUAGUUGCAAUAUCACCUGACCCACAAAACACCCCAACUCUAGCAGACUCUAUCCCUACUACACCGGUCAUUUCUGAUACCCCAACUCAGCAGAUCCCAACUGCGGCAAACAGUAUGAUGAUGCCAGUUGACAUAGCACCAGCUCUACGACACAAAAUCUCCAUUCCAGCAAAGAGUACACCAAAUCCAGUUGCCAAAUCCCUUUUUUGAACCAGAGAGAGCCCCAAUUGCAGCAAAUAGGACCCCUGUUCCAUUUCUUCCCAGUUUAGAAGAUGAAGCUUAUAUUGUUUUCAGGAACUUUGUGCACAUCUUUCCUUCAUGGAAAGAUUAUACCGCAGAUACAGAACAAUUUCCAGUCUUCCUCCGCAACUUACACGUAAGUAAUGUACUAAUGUUAUUCAUGGUCAUUACUGCAUAUGUUUCUGCUGACAGAAGACACAAGAUUUCAUUCUUUUAAAUGGGCGAGGACCAAACUGGAUUGUGAAGACGAGCAAGGGUUGGUUGCGCUUUGCAAGCACUCGUUGAUGAAGUAUCGUUCCUACCUGAGGCAAGCGCACUUUGAUGGCAAGCCUGUAAAAAAAUCCGUAAACUCUCCGGUCCUACAUUUAUCCGACGGUGACUGGAAUAAUCUUGUUACACAUUGGUCUCGUCUGCAACGUAAGGUACUGUCUAUGAUAUCACAUCACAAUUUGAAAUACAUUUCUGCAUUUGCCUUAAUGUCUCACUUGUACAAAAAUUGUUAGCAGAAGAACAUUCAUUCUCAAGGGACCACAUAAUCUCGCAACUAUACUACACACUACAUUGAACUUGUGAGUACCUCUUGCCCUGUAUGACCAUACUUACUUUCAUAGCUGUUUGAUUAUGUAGCAUCACUUCACAUGUUAGCCUCGUUAUCGUCCAUUUGGUGGACAUUAUAAGAUCCGUAUGGACUCUUAUAUAAAUUUAGAAUCAACCCAAUGCUUUUGAAGAGGUUUAGCUCUGUAGUCCUCGUGUAAGGACUGAACAUCGUCUAUCACUGUACUUACAUUAACAGCUACUCCCUCCCUAUAACAACGUUUUGUACAGUACACCAGUGUUCAUAACAUUCUUGUAUUAUGGGAAGAGGGAUUGGUUCAUUGUGUAGCAUUCUGCAUCUUAUCUCCCUCGCCCACCAUUUAGUAAAGAAGAUCAGAUCUAUAUUUAAUCUUACCAAAAAGUAGAAUACACAGGCAGUGCCAGUGCAGAAGUGUAGCCCAUUGAUCUUGUCAGUACAUUUUGUCCUGUAACGCUUGUACUUCCAGGGAUUGGUAGUUGAUUAUGUAGCAUCAAUCUGCAUCUUAUCUUCAUUAUUAUCUAUCCCUUCCAGUAUUAUCAUAUCUAUAAUUACUCUCUACAAAAUGAAGAGUAGAGGCAAUGCUUAUGAAGAAGAUUUUGUGCUGAAAUUCUUGAGUUAUCCUUCCCUUGACAUCGAGAAGGGCAUUAUAAAGCCGGUGUUAACUGAUAAUGUAAGUUAGUCCUUCUAAAGCCUUUAUCCUCAACUGUAGUUUAAUUUUCUCAUACUCCCUAUCGUUUACUGCUGUUUAGUUUGUUGUUUCUAUCAAAAUGCAUCUUCACAAGAACCGUGAGUUCUAAGUUUAUUUGUAAAACCAAAUUCCUUAUUCAUACCAUGCACAUUACUCAAUACUCCCUAUAUGUAAGCUUGUUUUCGUGGAUCUAUAAUCCUGUGUGGUGAAGCAGCCCAUGUUUGCACCUUGUCAUCUCCUGUUUUAUUUUACUGGUGUGGAUGAUGAUAUGAACAAUAUGCCAUGCACAUUAACCAAAAUAGAUACAAUGAUUGUCUUUGCCCUUCAUCUAUGCUUGUUAUGUUGACAUGGUAAUCCAGUAGUGUGGUGAAGCUCCCUGCAUUAUGAACAAUGCCAAAUUAUGCUAUUGAUAUUUUGAACUUACUCUUUAUUUUCUAAUUUGAAAUUGGAUGGAAUUGACAGCACAGUUAUCAUCUUUGUUUAUACACGUGCAAAACAUGUCAUCUCUCUGCUUGUUUCAGGGUGAUAUGCCUGAUGGCAAGCACAAGUCUACUGAAGGUUGUGAGACAAACCCAACAUAUAUUGCAGCAAAUAAGGCAAAACAUCUUGAAGAUAGCGAGACAACCCCAAAGUAUUGUCUUGAUGCAUUGUUCAAGUUACUUGAGACUAGCAGUCAGACAAGCUCACAUAAUUUGUUGUAUAAAUUAGUUCAACUUCUUUAGUCCCAAGUUCUAGCAGAAAGGCAUUCUGCAACUCAACUUCGACUUGAAGUCCUAUCUCUAAGAAAGAUUGCAGAGGACACCAACGAGAACCUCAUUGCUAAACAGCUACACCUGGAAGCUAUGAUCGACAUGCUAGGCCGGUCUCACAGCCUUGCUCAGCAGCUUGCGCAGUAGUUCCCGCGCAAGGCUAACCUUUCUUGAACUAUCUCGGAAGUGGUAUCGGUUCAGUAUUAUUUUGUUACGCUGCAAUGGUGCCCAGUUUUUGUAAUCUCCUUCUUCGUUGCGCUUUAUGAUCACUGGUGGCGAACUUCGAUGUGCAGUGGAUGUAAUAUACCAUAAAUUCUUUAUUGUAUAGUGUAGGUUUAUUCUUAGUUACCAUGUCAUAAUUUCUUUAUUGUAUAGAGCAGGUUUGUUCUUAAUUCCUACAAGUUAUUGCCAUCAUUCGCUAUCUGAAAAAAAAUCCGAUGUAGUCGACCGGACCGAAAUAUUCGCCUCUAACGGGCCUGGUUUUUAGUGGGCCACAAUUGGGCCGGUCUGCAUCUUUCUUGGGCCCAAAUGAUUGGGGCCUUCACACUUUGCGCCAGGUCCACAACUUACUCCGGCCUAUAUUUUAGUUAGCCUUUUGUGGACCCAGCGCUUAGUUUGGCCCAGGUAGCAUUUGGCCAUUAACAGGCUGAAUAUUCUACUGGCCUGUUACAGCCCAGAUGAAACCAUGGGCCUUUAGCAGGCCGAAAUGCAUGUUGGGCCUCAAUUUUCACUAGUCGUCCGCGGGCCUUCAGCAGGCUGAAAUGUAGAUCGGGCCUUUUUGGGACCAGUUAUAUGACGGGCCGUUACUAGGCCGAAACAUAUCUCGGGCCUUAGUUGGCCCACUGAUAUCAUGGGCCUUUAAGAGGCCGAAAGCUUAGUACAGGCAUCAACGGGCCGAAUUAUACGACAUACCUUUAACAGGCCCAAAGUCACGUUGGGGUGAACUGUUGCCACCUUUAUCACGGGUCGUUAGUGGGCCUGAUGUCCCGUCGGACCAUAUAUGGCCCAUGGCAGCACGGACGAUUCCCAGGCCAAAAGUCACACCGGGCUGAAAUGGGCCCAUGUCUACAUCAGGCCGCUAACAGACCGAAAGUCACUAGGCUGUAAAUGGGCCCAAAUAUUCGACAAACAAUUAACGGGCCAGAUCUGGCUUCGGGCCAUAAAUGGGCCUUUAUUAAACAGGCCAUUAUUGGGCUGGCCCACUGGUACCUGAGUAAGUACUACGGGCCUUUGAUUGGGCUGGCCUUUCUAACCUAUAUGGGCCUCUAUUGGGCCCUGCCAUGUGUCGACGUAUCAUAGGCAUGUCUUUUCCAAUGGACGGGCGACAUCUGGCCCACUGACGAGCUGACACGUGGAAAUUUCCCAUUGGUCUGGGCUGUUAACAGGUUAUCGGAUCCAAAACCGGACCCGAUAGCUUAAGGGUGUUCCGUUACGGUGGAUGCCACGUGUCGGUCAUCCUUGACGAAACACUUCUAUGACGCGCGAUUUAUCAUCAUGGAAGUGGACACUUCCAUGAUGAUAAUUUUGGUAAUGUCAUGGAACACUUCUAUGACAGCACAGGUAUGACUAUCUUGAUUCUGUCAUAAAAUUGUCCUGGAUGUACAUGCAUGACAGAAAACGCGACCUACUGUGACAAACAUGUAUCAUCACGGAAGUGUAUUUUUUGUAGUGCCCUCGUGGGCCCCUCGUAGUUCCACCAACGUACCUCUUUCGCCUAUAUAUACUCUUAUUAAGGAUGGCAAUGGUUCGGGUUCGGCUCGGGUUGAACUAUAUCAAAUCCAUAUCCAAAUUCAUGAAGACAUUGUGUGUCCGUCCAUGAAAAUAUCCAUGGACGAAAAAUUAUGUCCAUGUCCAAACCCGAUGAGUAUCCAUCGGGUUCUCUUAACAUGUAUACAUAAAACAUAGCACAACAUUCACUUAAGCUCCCAGGUUCUCACCAAAUGACAUAGCAAAAGUGCACAACAUCAAAUGAGCUCCUGCAUUCUCACAAAAUGACAUAGGACAAGUUUACAUCACCAAAUAAGCUCUCAGAUUAUCACAAAAUGACGUAACAUCAAAUAAACAUAAGUACACAAUUAUCCGUCCUCGCAGAAUGACAUAGCAAUAAAACAAGAUCAUUUCUCAAUCUUGAUUUCUCACAAAAUGGCAUAGAACAACAUCAAGUAAGCACAUUUACUACCAUGCAUCAUCUUCCAUUCUUCACCUCUAUCUUCUAUGCAUCAUCUUCGGACUUCUGUUAUGUUGGGCUCCCUACGAGUUAACAUUUUCAGGGCUAACGGCGGCAGGGCCUUGUGCUCCACCAUGAGAAGCUACUGAGUUGUACAUGCAAAAAAAAGUAACAAUCUUCAGUUUCAAUUAAAGUGAUCCAAGGUACAUAAUGUGUAAACUGUUCCAAUUUGAAAACAUUGUAAUCUCUAAAUCGUAGUGAAUGGUCACUACGAACCUAAAUUAAUUACUCUAUCUUUUUCUUUUAUGGAUAAGAUAGAACUGCCUAGAUUACACGUCAAAUUCUAUGAAUCUUAAUCAUUACAAUCCUAUAGAUUAAAAUACACUGAGAUGUGGCAAAACCUAAUUACUAAUUAACAUGCAUAGCUACAGACCAUGCCAUGUAUCCAAAUAUGAUAUGUGCUCAUUUGGUAACCAACGAAAAUUUACCUAAUUCUAUAAAUAUCUUCGAGUUACUACUGUAAGCUGCAAAAAAUAUUUGAUUUGCAGACAUACAUGAGAGGUAUUCAGGAAACAAAAAAAUUACUGCUGCUCAAAUUACUACUAUAAACUGAAAGAAAUACAUUACUUAAUUUCAGACAUACAUGAGAGGGAUUCAUAGAACAAAAAAUCUACUACUGCCCCAAUUACUAUUGUAAACUAAAGUAAUACUUAACUUGCUGACAUACAUGAGAGGGAUUCCAAAAUUACUACUGCUCCAAAUACUACUGUAAAAUGAAAGAAAUGCUUAAUUUGCAGACAUGCAUGAGAGGGGUUCAGGGAAGAAGCACAACUUGCAUACCCACGUACAGGAACACCAGCCGUACAUGAGAGAGAUUCAGGGAACAAAAGAAACUUACCCUGAACGCCGUCUGUUUGUUGUGUUCAUCACCUCCUUGCAGCGUCAUGGUCCUCUUUUGGGCCUGCGCUCAUCGACCGGCACUCCGGUGCUGCCGUGCUCCUAGUCCUGCACGCAGCAACACUGUUGUAGGUCGCGCAGCUCCGCAUAGGUGUGCUCUGCAUUGCAGCUCAGAGACUUGCGCUGCCCGCCGUUGUAUGUGUGUGCGAGAAAAAGUCGAGGCGGAGGGUCGAGGGGAUUUGUAGUUGGGCUGCGACUGUACAAUGGCGUUGAAUGCUGAAGUGUUGCAUGCCUGCGCCAUAUGUAGAGGUAAAAGCUGGCAGCGCCGGCGGCCGCAUCUAGGGCUGCGUGAGUAGUAGGCCGAGGAGAUGGACAUGGUCUGGUGAUUAAUGGCGAGUCGUUAAACGAGGAGAUACAAAGAAGGAGAAGAGGCAAAGUAAGUUACGUUGGGGACUGAGGAGGGAUUGUACACUUUAUUUUUAUUUUUAUUUUUAUAAAUAAAAAAUACAUUGAAACAUGGGAUAGAGGGGAUCACUGAAUUUUGACACACAUGUCAUACUAUCGGGUCGGGUUCGGGUAUAUCCAUGGAUACACAAUUAUAUCCAUGCCCUAUCCACGAGUAAUCGGGUCGGAUUCGGGUGCUGCCCAUGGGUGUAAAAAUGUAUCCAAACCCUAUCCAUUCGGGUCGGGUAUCCAUGUCCAUGGAUAAAAUUGCCAUCCUUAACUCUUAUACCCAAGAAACAUCAGGGAGAGCCACAAAACCACUUUUCCACCGCCGCAACCUUCUGUACCCGUGAGAUCCCAUGUUGGGGCCUUUUCCGGUGAUCUUCCGGAGGGGGAAUCGAUCACGGAGGGCUUCUACAUCAACACCAUUGCCUCUACGAUGAAGCAUGAGUAGUUUACCACAGACCUUCGGGUCCAUAGUUAUUAGCUAGAUGGCUUCUUCUCUCUCUUUGAUUCUCAAUACAAAGUUCUCCUCGAUGUUCUUGGAGAUCUAUUCGACGUAAUUCUUUUGCGGUGUGUUUGCCGAGAUCUGAUGAAUUGUGGAUUUAUGAACAAGAUUAUCUAUGAAUAUUAUUUGGUUCUUCUCUGAAUUCUUAUAUGCAUGAUUUGAUAUCUUUUCAAGUCUCUUUGAAUUAUCGGUUUAGUUUGGCCUACUAGAUUGAUCUUUCUUGCAAUGGGAGAAGUUCUUAGCUUUGGGUUCAAUCUUGCGGUGUCCUUUCCUAGUGACAGUAGGGGCAGCAAGGUGAUACGUCUCCAACGUAUCUAUAACUUUUUAUUGUCACAUGCUAUUAUAUUACCUAUUUUGGAUGUUUAUGGUCUUUACUUUACACUUUUAUAUCAUUUUUGGGACUAACCUACUAACCGGAGGCCCAGCCUGUAUUGCUGGGUUUUUUUGCCUAUUUCAGUGUUUCGAAGAAAAAGAAUAUCAAACGGAGUCCAAACGGAAUGAAACCUUUAGGAGCGUGAUUUUUGGAACAAACGUGAUCCACAGGACUUGGAGUGCAAGUCAAGAAGCUCCCGAGGCGGCCACGAGGGUGGAGGGCGCCCCUCCCCCCCUACUAGGCGCGCCCCCUAUCUCGUGGGCCCCUCGGGCGUCCACCGACAUACUUCUUCCUCCUAUAUAUACCCAUGUACCCCGAAACCAUCACGGGAGCCACCGAAAAACUAUUUCCACCACCAUAACCUUCUGUAUCCGCGAGAUCCCAUCUUGGAGCCGGCGCCGAUGCUCUGCCAGAGGGGGUAUCCACCACGGAGGGCCUCUACAUCAACUCCAAGGCCUCUCCGAUGAGUUGUGAGUAGUUUACCAUAGACCUUCGGGUCCAUAGUUAUUAGCUAGAUGGCUUCUUCUCUCUCUUUAAAUCUCAAUACCAUGUUCUCCUUCCUCUUCUUAGCGAUCUAUUUGAUGUAACUCUUUUUGCGGUGUGUUUGUCGAGAUCCAAUGAAUUGUGGGUUUAUGAUCAAGUUUAUCUAUGAGAAAUAUUUGAAUCUCCUCUGAAUUCUUUUAUGUAUGAUUGAGUUAUCUUUGCAAGUCUCUUCGAAUUAUCGGUUUGGUUUGGCCUACUAGAAUGAUCUUUCUUGCCAUGGGAGGAGUGCUUAGCUUUGGGUUCAAUCUUGCGGUGUCUUUUCCCAGUGACACCAGGGGCAUCAAGGCACGUAUUGUAUUGUUGCCAUCGAGGAUAAAACGAUGGGGUUUAUAUCAUAUUGCAUGAGUUUAUCCCUCUACAUCAUGUCGUCUUUCUUAAAGCAUUACUCUGUUCUUAUGACCUUAAUACUCUAGAUGCAUGUUGGAUAGCGGUUGAUGUGUAAUAGUAGUAGAUGCAGGCAGGAGUCAGUCUACUUGUCAUGGACGUGAUGCCUAUAUACAUGAUCAUACCUAGAUAAUCUCAUAAUUAUUCGCUUUUCUAUCAGUUGCUCGACAGUAAUUUGUUCACCCACCGUAAUACUUAUGCUAUCUUGAGAGAAGCUACUAGUGAAACCUAUGGCCCCCGGGUCUAUCUUUUAUCAUAUAAGAUUUCAAUCUACUUUUAUUUGCAUCUUUACUUUUCCAAUCUAUAUCAUAAAAUACCAAAAAUAUAUUUAUCUUAUCAUAUUAUCUCUAUCAGAUCUCACUUCCGCAAGUGGUCGUGAAGGGAUUGACAACCCCUUUAUCGCGUUGGUUGCGAGUUCUUUGUUUGUUUGUGUAGGUGCGUGGGACUUGUGAGGAGCCUCCUACUGGAUUGAUACCUUGGUUCUCAAAAACUGAGGGAAAUACUUACGCUACUGUGCUGCAUCACCCUUUCCUCUUCAAGGAAAACCAACGCAAGCUCAAGACAUAGCACAAUGCACGUAUUGUAUUGUUGCCAUCGAGGAUAAAAAGAUGGGGUUAUAUCAUAUUCUUGAGUUUAUCCCUCUACAUCAUGUCAUCUUGCUUAAUGCGUUACUCCAUUCUUAUGAACUUAAUGCUCUAGAUACAUGUUGGAUAGCGGUCGAUGUGUGGAGCAAUAGUAGUAGAUGCAGAAUUAUUUUGGUCUACUUGACAUGGACAUGAUGCCUAUAUUCAUGAUCAUUGCCUUAGAUAUCUUCAUAAUUAUGCGCUCUUCUAUCAACUGAUCGGCAGUAAUUUGUUCACCCACCGUAAUACAUGCUAUCUUGAGAGAAGCCACUAGUGAAACCUAUGGACCCCGAGUCUCUUUCCUAUUAUAUUACAUCUCCUUUAUUUACAUCACAUCUCGUUUACUAUUUUGCAAUCUUUACUUUCCAAUCUAUAAAACAAAAAUAUCAAAAAAAAUUACUUUACUAUCUUUAUUAGAUCUCACUUUUGCGAGUGACCGUGAAGGGAUUGAUAGCCCCUUUAUCGCGUUGGUUGCAAGGUUCUUGAUUGUUUGUGCAGGUACUAGGUGACUUGUGCGUUGUCUCCUACUGGAUUGAUACCUUGGUUCUCAAAAAAUGAGGGAAAUACUUACGCUACUAUGCCACAUCACCCUUUCCUCUUCAAGGGAAAACCAACGCAUGCUCAAGUAGCAGCUUUCUCGUAAUGAUCAAUCCAUGCUCGAUAAUUAUUGUACUGGUUCUUUUAUGAAGAAGAAUAUUGAAUUCAAAUUGGAUUUAAUGGAAAGAAUUAAACGCAACUCUGAAGAUUGGGAGCUCGACGAAGGUAAGGAGUCAGGUAUAAACCUUAAGUUUCAUUGUGUUAAAUCCUUUAUGGAGACCGAUGCUUUUCAUGAAUUUAGCACUAAAUAUGGACUUGACUCCGAGAUAGUAGCUUUUUUCUGUGAAUCAUUUGCUACUCAUGUUGAUCUCCCCAAGGAGAAGUGGUUUAAAUAUCAUCCUCCCAUUGAAGUAAAAGUAGUAAAACCUAUUAAAGUUGAAGAACAAACUAUUACUUAUAAUGUUGACCUUGUUAUUCCUAGUGCUUACAUUAAGAAGCCACAUUUUCCUGUUAGUAUAAAAGAACAUGCUAAAGCUUCAGCUGUGGUUCGUAUGAGUUAUACUAGAACACCUACACCUAUUGAACAAAUUAAAGUUGAACCUAGUAUUGCUAUGGUUAAGGAUCUCUUGGUCGAUAAUAUUGAUGGGCAUGUUAUUUAUUUCUAUGUUGAAGCUGCUAGAAUUGCUAAACCCUAUAAUAAGGAUAACCAUAGACUUAUUGUUGGCAUGCCUAUUUUUUCUAUUAAGAUAGGAGAUCAUUGUUAUCAUGGCUUAUGUGAUUUGGGUGCUAGUGUGAGUGCAAUUCUGUUUACUUUAUACCGAGAAAUUAUGAAUGAUAUUGCACAUGCUGAAAUAGAAGAUAUUGAUGUUACUAUUAAGCUUGCUAAUAGAGAUACGAUAUCACCAAUUGGGAUUGUUAGAGAUGUUGAAGUCUUGUGUGGGAGAAUAAAAUAUCCCACUGAUUUUCUUGUUCUUGGUUCGCCACCAGAUGAUUUUUGUCCGAUUAUAUUUGGUAGACCUUUCUUGAACACUGUUAAUGCUAACAUAGAUUGUGAGAAAGAAACUAUUAGUGUAAGUUUCAGGGAUGUGUCUCAUGAGUUUCCAAAUUUCAUAGACAAUCCCAUGAUAAAGAAUUUCCUAGUAAGGAUGAAAUUAUUGGUCUUGCCUCUAUUGUCAUGCCUCCUAUUGAUCCUUUAGAACAAUACUUGCUAGAUCAUGAAAAUGACAUGUUUAUGGAUGAAAGAAAUGAAAUAGAUGAAAUAUUCUUUAAACAGAUGCCUGUUUUGAAAUACAAUUUGCAUGUUGAGACUCUUGGAGAUCCUCUACCACACAAGAGUGAUCCUGUGUUUGAUCUUAAACAAUUACCUGAAACUUUGAAAUAUGCUUAUCUUGAUGAAAAGAAGAUAUAUCUUGUUAUUAUUAGUGCUAACCUUUUAGAGCAUGAAGAAAAGAAGUUAUUGAAACCUCUGAAGAACCAUCAUGCCGCUAUUGGAUAUACUCUGGAUGAUCUUAAGGGCAUUAGUCCCACUCUAUGUCAGCAUAUAAAAUUAAUAUGGAGCCUGAUGCUAAACUAGUUGUUGAUCAUCAACAACGGUUGAACCCUAAGAUGAAAGAAGUGGAAAGAAAUGAAAUACUAAGGCUUCUGGAAGCAGGUAUAAUUUAUCCUAUUGCUGAUAGUGGAUGGGUAAGUCUUGUUCAUUGUGUCCCUAAGAAGGGAGGUAUUACUGUUGUUCCUAAUGAUAAAAAUGAAUUGAUUCCAUAGAGAAUGGUUACAGGUUAUAGAAUGGUAACUGAUUUUAGAAAAUUAAUCAAAGCUACUAGGAAAGAUCAUUAUCCUCUACCUUUUAUUGACCAAAUGCUAGAAAGAAUAUCCAAACACACACACUUUUGCUUUCUGGAUGGUUAUCCUGGUUUUUCUCAAAUACAUGUGUCAUAAGAGGAUCGAGAAAAAACUACUUCUACACGCCCUUUUGGUACAUUUGCUUAUACACGUAUGCCUUUUGGUUUAUGCAAUGCACCUGCUACCUUUCAAAGAUGUAUGACUGCUAUAUUCUCUAACUUUUCUGAAAAGAUUGUUGAGGUUUUCAUGGAUGAGUUCUCCGUUUAUCGAACUUCUCUUGAUGAUUGCUUAAGCGACCUUGGUCGAGUUUUGCACAAAUGUGAAGAAACUAAUCUUGUCUUGAAUUGGGAGAAGUGCCACUUUAUGGUUAAUGAGGUAUUGUCUUGGGGCAUAAAAUCUCUGAAAGAGGUAUUGAAGUGGAUAAAGCUAAAGUUGAUGCUAUUGAAAAAAUGAUGUGUCCUAAAGAUAUCAAAGGUAUAAGAAGUUUCCUUGGUCAUGCUGGUUUCUAUAGGAGAUUUACUAAAGACUUCUAUAAAAUUUAUAUGCCUAUCACUAACCUUUUGCAAAAGAUGUUCUAUUUGUUUUUGAUGAUGAUUGUGUAGAAGCAUUUAAAAUUCUCAAGAAAGCCUUAAUUUCUGCACCUAUUGUUCAACCACCUGAUUGGAACCUACCCUUUGAAAUUAUGUGUGAUGCUAGUGAUUAUGCUAUUGGUGUUGUUCUAGGUCAAAGAGUUGAUAAGAAACUAAAUGUUAUCCAUUAUGCUAGUAAAACUCUAGAUAGUGCUCAAAGAAAUUAUGCUACUACUAAAAAGGAAUUUUUAGUAGUUGUAUUGCUUGUGACAAGUUCAGAUCUUAUAUUGUUGAUUCCAAAGUGACUAUUCACACUGAUCAUGUUGCUAUUACAUAUCUUAUGGAAAAGAAAGAUGCUAAACCUAGGCUUAUUAGAUGGGUUCCCUUGCUACAAGAAUUUGAUUUGCAUAUUAUUGAUAGAAAGGGAGCUGAGAACCUCGUAGCAGACAGCUUGUCUAGGUUAGAAAAUAUUCUUGAUGACCCACUACCUAUUGAUGAUAGCUUUCCUGAUGAACAAUUAGCUAUCAUAAAUGCUUCUCAUAGUACUCCAAGGUAUGCUGAUUAUGCUAAUUAUAUUGUUGCUAAAUUCAUACCACCUAGUUUCACAUACCAGCAAAAGAAAAAGUUUUUCUAUGAUUUAAGACACUAGUUUUGGGAUGACCCACACCUUUAUAAAGGAGGAGAUGGUGUUAUUAGACGAUGUGUACCUGAGCAUGAAUAGGAACAGAUCCUACGCAAGUGUAAUUCUGAGGCCUACGGAGGACACCACGCUGGAGAUAGAACUGCACACAAGGUAUUACAAUCUGGUUUUUAUUGGCAUACUCUCUUCAAGAUGCCCGUAAGUUUGUCUUAUCUUGUGAUGAAUGUCAAAGAAUUUGUAAUAUUAGUAGACAUUAGGAAAUGCCUAUGAAUUAUUCACUUGUUAUUGAACCAUUUGAUGUUUGGGGAUUUGAUUAUAUGGGACCUUUUCCUUCCUCUAAUUGGUAUACUCAUAUUUUAGUUGUUGUUGAUCACGUUACUAAGUGGGUAGAUGCUAUUCCAAUUAGUAGUGCUGAUCAUAACACUUCUACUAAAAUGCUUAAAGAAGUUAUUUUUCUGAGGUUUGGAGUCUCUAGAUAUUUGUUGACUGAUGGUGGUUCACACUUUAUUCAUGGUGCUUUCCGUAAAUUGCUUGCAAAGUAUGAUGUUAACCAUAGAACUGCAUCUCCCUAUCAUCCUCAGUCUAGUGGUAAAGUAGAAUUAAGUAAUUGAGAAAUAAAGUUGAUCUUGCGAAAGACCGUUAAUAGAUCUAGAAAGAAUUAGUCUAAGAAAAUUGAUGAUGCUUUAUUUGCUUAUAGAACUAAAUAUAAAAACCCAAUGGGUAUGUCCCCAUAUAAAAUGGCAUAUGGAAAAGCAUGUCACUUACCUCUCGAACUAGAACAUAAGGCUUAUUGGGAGAUUAAAGAGCUCAACUAUGAUUUCAAACUUGUCGGUGAGAAGAGGUUAUUUGACAUUAGCUCACUUGAUGAAUGGAGAACCCAGGCCUACGAAAAUGCCAAGUUAUUUAAGGAAAAACUUAAAAAAUGGCAUGAUAAAAGAAUACAAAAGCGUGAAUUCAAUGUAGGUGACCAUGCCUUGCUAUACAAUUCUGUUUGAGAGUCCACAAUUCUGCUAUAGCCCUAUCUUUGCUAGCCAAAAAUUCCGCACUAAGUAGAGAUACUACUUGUGCAUCCAAAACCCUUAAACCCUAUCUUGUUUGAGAGUCCACCAUACCUACCUAUGGAUUGAGUAAGAUCCUUCAAGUAAGUUGUCAUCGGUGCAAAAAGGGCAAUAACAAUUGCUUAUAAAAAUGUGAGAUCAUUUAGUGUAAGGGAAAAUUGAGCGUUGUACGAAAUUGUGAUGGUGAAGAAUAAAAGUGACAGACUGCAUAAUAAAGGUUGCCAUCACAAGGGGCAAUAUAACGUGAUGUUCUCUUGCACUAAGGGGUUGAGCGUACAAACAAAAAGCGCAUGGCAACCUCUGCUGCCCUCUACGAAGGGCUCGUCUUUUACUUUCAUGUAUUUACUUUCAUGCAAGAGUCAAAGUUUUUCUCUCUAUUCUUUUUAUUUUUCUCCUUUGGCAAGCAUCAUGUGGUGAGGAAAGAUCUAGGCACAUAUGUCCAAUUGAAUAUGGGUGGCAUAAGUUAUUAUUGUUGACAUCACCCUUGAGGUGAGUGUGUUGGGAGGCAAAACUAUAAGCCCCUAUCUUUCUAUGUGUCCGGUUGAAAUGUUUUGCUCAUGUGUACACGGUUAGUGUUAGCAAUCAUAGAAGACUAAAUGAUGGUUGAGUAUGUGGACUUGCCUAAAGGCUCCGAUACGUGACCCUUCCUGAAAAGAUGAUGAAUUGUAGUUGCAAAGUUGACUAAGAACAUAGUUUGUUGGUUUCCAAUAGAGAUUAUGCUUUAUACUUCACUGUUGUGAUGAAUUGUCACUUGUUCGUGAGAAGUCUAUGAUAAAAGUUCUAUAAUAAAAGUUUUAUAUUAAAGUUUGUUGUUGUUAUAAUAAGUCACAUGAUGCUGCUAUGUCCGUAUUUUUAUUUUUAUCGACACCUCUCUCUCUAAGCAUGUGGACAUGUUUUUCGAUUUUGGUUUUCGCUUGAGGACAAGCGAGGUCUAAGCUUGGGGGAGUUGAUACGUCCAUUUUGCAUCAUGUUUUCGUACUGUUAUUUAUGUUGUUUUAUUGUAUAAUAAUGUUUUUUGGAGUAAUUCUAAUGCCCUUUCUCUCAUAAUAUGCAAGGUAUGCACCAAGGGGGAGAAUUCUGGCAGCUGGAAAUCUGGACCUGAAAAAGCUACGUCAAGCAACUUAUUCUGCACAACUCCAAAUGAGUUGCAACUCCCCGAGGAUUUUUUUUCUGUAAUAUUUCAUAAAUAUUGGAGCAAAUAAGUACCAGAGGAGGGCCACCAGGUGGGCACAACCCACCUGGGCGUGCCAGGAGGCCCAGGCGUGCCCUGGUGGGUGCUGCCCUCCUCGGCCCACCUCCGGUGCCCAUCUUCUGGUAUAUAAGUAAUUUUGACCUACAAAAAAAUAAGGGGAGGACAUUCGGGACAAAGCUCCGCCGCCUCAAGGCGGAACUUGGGAAGGAGCACUUUUGCCCUCCGGUGGAGCGAUUCCGCCAGGGGAACCUCCCUCGCGGAGGGGGAAAUCAUCGUCAUCAUCAUCACCAACAACUCUCCCAUCUUGGGGAGGGCUAUGUUCAUCAACAUCUUCACAGCACCAACUCCUCUCAAACCCUAGUUCAUCUCUUGUGUUCAAUCUUUGUACCAAAACUAUAGAUUGGUGCUUGUGGGUGACUAGUAGUGUUG